rnacentral:lncRNA from 1 species
CCCUUGAAAUCAAAGCAGAUGUAUGGAAGAUGAUUCAAAUGAGGCAUCUAAAAACAAACGCAUCCACAACAUUGAAAGGCCCUCUCGCUAAAUCAAGAAAAAGUAAAGAAGAUUCUUUGAACUUCAAAACACUUUCUACAAUAUCACCUGAAAGUUGUACAGAAGGACUCAAGUGCCUUCGUCUUAAUCACUGCAGUAAGCUUGUUGAAGUCCCAUUUGAACUGGCUAAUGUUCCAAGCUUCCAGAUAUUGGACUUGAACUGUACCAGCAGAUCAGCAGCUAAAUCUGCCAAGAAAAUUUCGGAGCAUUAAAAGCAAAUUGGUGGUAGUGGAUUUAAGCUUUCGAUUUACCCUUCAGAUCAUGAUCAAUGAUCUCCAUUUGCUCGAAGCUCAUAAAUGCUACUUCACAGGUAAUAUAUUUUAAACUUUGUUCUUUUCAAUUGAUAUAUCUAUUCCUACUUAAAACUUAAGCACCAAGAAAAGAUUGUUUUUUCCCCUGUGCCCUUUCUAUUUCUUAACUCUGUGUGGAUAUAUGCUCUAUCUGCUAAUCCAUGAUUUGAAUCAGAAAAAUCUGAAAGAUAUGAAGUGGAAGUCCAAGUAAACAUGUUUGCUACUAUCUUACAUAUUACUAACGAAUUAUGAAAAUUAUUUCUAGCGUAAUGGUGUAAAAAUUCAAUGAUAUGAUCAACUCAUAUUUUUGCAGGCUGAUAAUCAGAUGAACAGUGAUGUCAUGAGUGUUGAAUAAAGGAAGUUUAGAUGCAUGGAGCCAAUGUUUCUCUUCCCUGUGUUUUUCCAUUACGUUCAAUAAAAAAUUGCACUUUAUUGUAUGUUGAACUUCAAAAUAUUGGUAGUUUCUUUUUACUCAGUGUGUUGUAUUGCUGUAAUCAUUUUACCUUGCUUUAGCUUUUGACUAUGGAAUUACUGCUGCUUUCAUUUUACCUACUUAUAAUUUUUUUUCUUGACAAAGUGGCAAAUAGAAAACUGCAUGGUCUUGCGCUCUUACUUUAUUGCACCUAAUGUAAUUUGCCUUAGCUUGAUGAGUAUGGUCAUUGUACUUUGAGCAGGUUUUGCUAAGUAAAUUAAACUUACUUUUAUGUAAUAUUUCAUUCACGUACAUAUAUAUUUGGAACCUAAUAGGAGAGGCUUAUUCUCUUAGAGCGACCCGUUGUAAUUUUUUCAGGAUUUCGAAGAUCGGAAGCCAAUGGAAGGAGAGACUUGUAAGUUUUGGGUAGAAUUAUGAGUGAGUUAUAGAAAUUUCAACCAAAAAUUGAGAUCUAUUGUAGUUUGCUAUAGUUGCAAUAUAACUCCAAAUCCUUCAUUGUCUUUAAAUUGUGGUUGGGUUCUUCCAUCGUAUCCAUAAUUGUGUUAAAUACAUUGAUAAAUAUAUUCCUUCUAAUGUGCAUUACAUCUAAAUUAAAUGCCACAAAGCAUAUCCAAGAAUGUGUUUAAUCAAUUUAUUUUUUCUUACAAGCUUUAUCGGUUAUAAUUUUGGGAAGUUUCUUAUAGUGGUAACUUGACGUGUAAUAAAUGAUGCUACCAAUGGCCUGAUUUUGUAAAGAGGGCAGGUUAGUUUCUGUUUAACAGAACAUUUGAAGACUUGUUUUAUGCAAACAUUAAUUAUUGUAAACAAGAUUAGAGUUGUCAUCCUUACUUUGGCUUAACAUUUUAAACAGGUAAAGAUUUGGUAUUUGAUUAACCUUUGGAAAAGGAACGUAAUGUACAGGCCCCGUUUUCAUUGAGAAGUAUGGUGCCUCUAUUACGAAACACGACUUCAUGCCGGUCCACAAUAUAAAAGCACAAAAAAUAAAAAAAAUAAAAAAAAAUAAAUAAUAAUAAUAAUAAAUAAAUAAAUAAAAUAAAAUAAAAAUUCACUCUACAGGCUUGCAUGUACAUAAUCACAAUAAGCUUAACCCUCUAUUUGUCAUCAUUUAUUUUACAUUAUUUUUUCUAUAGUACUCAUUAUUAAUUAAAUAAUAUUACAUGCAGAUCAAAAACUUCCCUUUUUUUUAACCACACAUUCUUCAUCAAUUACUAUUUCAUAAUACAUUUCUUCAAAUUAUCAAGGCUCAAACAAGGUUUAAGCAGGAACAUAAAAGGCCAUCAUUUACCAAAAACAUAAUUCAAACAUGUCAUUUCUUAGUACAAAAAGAUGAUCAAAGCAGUCCCUUAUAAGUUGCGAUCAAAAGAGGCGGCUAGAUUAGAACCAUAAUGCGUUAGGAAUGAAAAGAUUAUUUGAAAUAAAAGUGAUGAAAUAAAACUUACCUUGAAAACCCAUUUUUUAGUACAAGGUUUCGAAAAACUUCAGCCUUGUUUCUUCAAGACUUUAACAUGCUGUCCCAUGCUAGGGACUCCAACCCGCAACUCUCGCAGGCAAACUGAUAAUGUAUUUUAAGUGAGUGCACUAAAUACUCGUUAUAAAUAGAAACUACACCCUCUUAUAAAGUUGGGUAACAAUAACGAAAUACUUUUGCAAUCUUAUUUCCAUAAAUCAGAUUCUGAAGCAGUAUUACAGUUCAAGUGACUAUCUAGUUUGCAUAGAAUAUUUUGGAAUUGUUCCGAGACUCAGAGCCUUCUAUGGAAUUUGUGAACUGUGCAUCAGGUUUUCAACUUCCGACGUUCUUUGCCUCCAUAAUUAGUUUGUAGUAGUGUUUUGCAAAUUGGUUAGCAAAUCAAUAUUUUACAUUGUUUGUUGAACUUGGUGUUUGUGAAUAUGAUAUGACACAUCUCUAACUAUGACUUGUUUCUUUAGUUGUGGCAUUCAUUUUUAAUAUCGUGUGUUAUUAUACUAUUUCAUUUUAUUACCUUUAUUAAAUAAUGUCCGUAAUGAAGUAAUUUCUUGGUUCAGUCUAUUUUAUCUAAAUAGUUUUUACUAUGAUUCAUAUGCAGAUAAUGCAAUUCAUAGAGACAUAUAUUAUUCACCUAAUAAUGGUAAUGACAUAAACCUUUUAUUUCGUCUCUUACUAGCUCUUCCGCUCUUAAUGUUUGGAAGGUUUUCAACUAUAGUUGGCAACCACAUAUACUUCUCAUAUUGGUCAUAUACUUCUCAUAUUGGUCUUUGUAACGCUUAUGUGGCUGAAAUUGGUAGUGACAAUAAGAUAAAAGAUGUAUUUUCGAUAUUUUUUAGUGUGGAUGAUUUAGUUUGACCCAUUUGGUAUGAACUAGACUUCAAGACAUGCAUAUCCCAUCUAGGCAAUAUGUCAUAUGCCGGAAAGGCACUAAUUGCCCACAUCAAAAAAACUUUCAUUCGAAAAUUCUUCUUUAUGUAUAUGUUGUAAGUUUCUUCUUUGUAUAUAUGUCGUGAGUUUCAACAUCUUUACCCAAAAUAGUUAUACUUCAUCCAUUAUGCGAUUCAAAUAAACACAAAGAUUUAACCUGGACACUUCAAUGGCGAGAAAAACAUACUAAAAAAUUGUAAUCAUAUUACAUGCACAUACAAAGUGGGAGAUCACCGUCUCACUGCAUUCCUCACAAUUUUUUUAUAGGAUCCACCGCAAUCUGAUCAUAAAUAAAGAAUAAUAUCCCGUGUACAUUUUUCUUUUAUUGUUCGUACCAUGGGUUGAAUGAUAUGUCUACCUUCCAAAUUUCAGACAAUUGUGUUAACCUAUGGUUGACUUCUCGUUUUCAUUAUCACAAACAAAUUGCGUUUAUUUCUAACAAUUUGAAUUCGAGUGUUGACAGAGAUUAUUGCACAUCAAUAAAAUUGAAGACAUAAAGUUUUUUGCAAGUAACGAUCGACGUGAAAACAAAAUUGAGGUUGUGAAAAUUUCUAUUGAAAAAAUCUUUGAAAACUUUCAAAAAAAAUGCUCAAUGAGAAUCGAGAUAAAAGUUGAAGUAUAGUCAAGCAUGCAUGUCAAGUCAUUCAGGAUGAAGCGCUUUCAUUGAAGAUAUUAGAGAUAGACUUUUUUUAUUCAUAAUUGAUUUAAUACUUGGCAAUGAAUCGUGAAAAGCUCAAAAUUGAUUUUAUGCACGAAAAUAAUCAUGUUACAAAAAUGUUUGCGUAAAGACUAUUUUUCAAAAGUAAAAAAACUCAAUCUUACGUUUGUACAGUGUCACUUACCUUGAAAAAUCAAGUAAAAACGACCUUCAAAAGAUUACAUUCGUAAAAAUCAUAAAAGAAGGAAAAUUCUGAAAAUUUUGUCGUGGCAGACGUUCGGUAGGUCCAACGGUUAAAUUUUUUAACCAUUCUAAAUUCUGACUCACAACGGCUACUACAUUGCCCAGGUACUCUAGCGGACGUCCGAUAGAAAGCGUCCGGUUGUAUAAACUUUUUGACGAUUUUUCAAAUAUAAAUACCAUCUCACUUUGUAUUCAUUUAUAUAAUCCGAGAGCAUUAAAGUAAGAUCCUUUUGAGCUAAAAUAUUUAAUCUCUACUCUUUAUUUAUUAUUAUCAAUACAAUUAUUUUUUAAAAACUCUUCAUUGAUUUUUUUGGGGAAAUCAUUUCAUUCAUCAAGGUGUUUCAAAACCAGCACUUGAACUUUACUCAUUGCUAUUUAUUAGAGUGUUUAGCUUGCUUUCUCUAGUUGUACAGAACUUUGAAUAUAUCACUUAUUAUAAGAGAAAUUUCAAUUUGUAAUCUUUUUAUUUUUCAAACUCGAGGGUUGUGUUGAGGUCCCGUAAAACUCAACGUAAUAAAAGGAUCGUGCUCAUUGUUUGUAAGUCACGGGAAGCAUUAUAGAAGAUUGGAUUGCACCAUAAGACAAUCAAAUUUAGUGAAAAGGGCCUUACUCGUGCCAGACAACUUGGUAAUGGGGGACGUAGAUUAUUGCAUUGGAUCGAACCUCAACAAUCAAAUCGUUUGCAUUCUCACUCUUCUUUUUACUGUUUUAUAUUGUGCUCAUUAAUUUUUUUUAUUUGCUAUUUGUGUGUAUCUAUUUUAUUGCUACAUUUGCUAGUACAUUAUUUUUAGACUUGAAUUAUUUUACAAAAAGGACAUAAAAACCAAUUCACCCCAUCUUGGUUAGCUAUUCUUAGGCUUUCAGAUUGUACAAGAGAGCUUUCUUUAGAAGUCUCCAUUUCUUAUCGACGAUUAGUGGGAUUGUCACUCUUUUUACUUUUCGGCCAAUAGAGAUUUAGGUGUAGCUCCCAACCUUAAUUGUGUGCUUGCUCAUAUGGAUUGUAUUACAAGUAUGUAUCAUCUGAACAUAUUAGAUUGUCAAACUUUUAUGUCUUUGUAUUUCGAACAAAUUUCAUUCUCCCAAAGGCAUGUUAUCUUCAUCAAUUUCGGCAUAUUGAUCCUCUUGGAGAGACUUCCUUUGUUUAUCCUGUAUUUGGCAGGUCGGUAAUGUCAAUAUCAAUCUCAAUAGCAACGCAUCCGCAUCAACUUCAUUUAUACCUUAUACUUGAAAAUUUGGUAGUUUACGCAGCGCUGCUAAAGGCAGGUCAUCUUCAUCAAGUUCAAUGAGUUUAUGAUAUCCUUCCAUUUUAAAGCAUGAUAAGAUGGAGAAAUCCUCCAUGCUUGUUAUCUUCAUCAAUUUUGAAAUCUUUCAUCUCAUAUUGUUGUUGUGCUUUUGCUUCUUUCCGUUUCCUACAAUCAAAAUAAACAAGUAAAUCAGUUGAAAAAUUAUGAAAAAUUUAAAUCGGAGUUAGAAUUAAAAACAAAACCUAAAGUAGAUAAAUUGGUCCCCAAUAAAGACAUUAAAAACUUGAUUCUGUGAUUCUCCAAGUUUACGGAUCGUGACAAGUAAUAAUAAUGGCAAGGGUGGAGGUAGUGGGGGGCAGAGAUGGGCUAUAGCCUAGCCCUACCCUCUACCCCAUCUGGAAAAUUAAGAAUAAAUUGUGUAAUUUUGAUCCAAAUAUUUGUACUAGCCCAGCUCUAAUUUGAAUUCCAACUCAAACCCAUCUUUAUAAUUAUUAAGUACUAUUUUUAUAUUAUUUUAUUUUCAAAUUAGGCAUUUUAUUUAAUGCAUGUUUUAUUAAAUUUACUUAUAAUAAUUAAGUAAAUUUUAGAUAAUUUGUAAUGAUCAGAUUUAAAAAUUAAUUAUUUUAAUAAUUAGAAACACUACGUCCUUGUUUGGUAGAGAUUAAAAUUUGAAUUUAAAUUUAAAGUCAAAAAUCAACAAUUAUUUCUAACCGCAUAUUUUAUGGAACCCAUAACUUUUUAACCACACAUUUCAUUAAGUGCCUUCGUCUUAAUCACUGCAGUAAGCUUGAUGAAGUCCCAUUCGAACUGGCUAAUGUUCCAAGGUUCCAGACAUUGGACUUGAAAUGUACCACCAGAGCAGCAGCUAAUUUUGCAAAGAAAAUUUCGGAGCAUAAAAAGCAGCCAGGUUGUACACGUCAAAAAACAUGGUGUUUGUUGAAGAGUGAUUCUGUGACCCUACAACCAGUCGUUUUUAAAAAUCAAGAAAUAUGGUAUUUGAUGAAGCAUCUUUAUGAUAGACAUCGAAAAGGGUGGAGUUGCUAGUUUGAAAGAAAAUGGAUGAUAAAUUACAAGAGGAGAUCACAGAAGCACAACAAAGCCCUAAGGAAACAAAAAAUGCAUAAGAAUUAAGUGACGAGAAUGAGUCUACUAGUGAAAUACAAAAUUCUUGGCAAACAAAUGUAUAUCAGACAACACUAGAAGAGAUACCACUGAGUUAAGAGAAAGUUGAGGAAUAAUUAAGCCCCCAAACACAGUUGAGAAAAUCAACUAUACAGAGAAAAUCAAAUCCCAAAUAUGCUAAUGUAACAGUAGAAGAAGAUGGCAGUAUUAAAGAGUCAAAGACCUAUAAAGAAGUGAUCUAACUCAAGAAAUGAAAAAAGUAAUGAAAGAUGAGUUCAUGGCUCUAAAACAAAAUAAGACUUGGGAUUUGAAGCCAAGGCCUGAUGGAGUAAACCCUAUAUCCUACAAGUGGGUAUACAGAGUAAAACAACUUCCUAGUGGAUCAAUGAAAGAUAUAAGCCCCAACUAGUAGCUAGUGGAUUAUCACAACAAUAUGGACUUGACUAUGAUGAAAUUUUAGUCCAGUGGCAAAGAUUACUACAAUAUGAGUAUUUAUAGCUUUUGCAACGAGCAAGUCUACAAGCUGUAUCAGAUGGAUGUGAAAAAUAUGUUUCUCCAUGAAGACUUGAUUGAGACAUUUACAUAAAGUAACAAAAAGGACUCGAGAAUAAAGAAAAGCCAGGGUAUGUUUGCAAGUUAACGAACUCUAUAGGUUAAAGCAGGCACCACAAGCGUGUACAGUAAGAUAGCUGAAUUUUUAGAUCAAAGCGGUUACUUAGUAACACCAGUCAACUUGAGCCAAUUUGUCGAAGCACGAAAUGGAAAAUUAACAAUAAUGCUAUUGUAUAUGAAUGAUCUUAUCAUCACUUGAGACGAAGAAGAUGAAAUUUAAUGAACUAGAAAUAAUUUAUCAAUGAGAUUCCAAAUGGAAGAGCUUGAAGAGCUAAAUCAUUUUUUGAGACUUAAGAUGGAAGGACAAAAGAAGGAUUACUCUUGUGCUAGCAUAAGUAUACACAAGAUCUCUUACAAAAGUUUGGGAUGAUUGAUUACAAACCAAUACCAACACCAAUCAAGAUUAACUUCUAGCUAUGUGCAGAUGCAGGCAUGGAAUUAGAGAAUGCAACCAUGUUCCAGAAGCUAGUAUGAAUCUUGAUCAAAUUAAUGCUAACAUAACUUGACAUCGCAUACGCAGUUGGAAUAGCGAGCUGCAUCAUUGAAAUGUUGAAGAAGCCACACCUUGAAUUAGUGCAACGGGUCUUAAGGAUAACUUUCUUUUAUCUUCUUCAUUAUAUUCCUUUCUAGGUUUAGGAAUAGUUUCAUUGGGUUUACCGUCAACUUUAAUAAUCUUGGUGGGCACGUAGAGACCAUGUUCAAUAACUUCCCAAAUAUUGUAAUCUAUUGCUUGAAUGUAAAUCAUCAUCCUAACUUUCCAAUAAUUAUAAUGUGUGCUAUCAAAGAAAGGAAGACGAUUUAUAGAAUGCCCCUCGAGAUUUUGACUAUUUUGGUUAGCCAUUACUCAAGAUUGUGAACUCUUUUAAAAUGGGUUCCUUACUUUGAUAACUAAUUACGCCCAAAGAAUAACACGAUGGCUGUAGCACAAUUUUGGGGUGUCGAUUCCAUAGGGAGAUGGACGAAUUGUUUAAAAGAUUUAUCGAACUAAGAUUUCAUGAAUUAUGUGAAAAUAAUUUGUCAAUUGAAAUGAGAUUUAAUUAUCAAUAAGCGAGAUUAGUGAAACGUCCGAAUUCCUUCAGUUGGAUUGGAUCAUCAAUAACAAUAAUUCGUGACUUUUUGCUCAAUUAGAGGUUUUCAUCUCAACUCUCUAAUCAGAAGAUUUAACAAUGAAGAUCAAUCAAAUUUCAAUUGUAAUCCUAGGAUCUAGAUUUUUGUAAACCAUUCACACACAUGUUUAUUGGACUAAGAUUAAGAAUCGACCAUAUUCAGAAUGCAUAAGAUAGUAAAUAAUCCACCAAUAAGGUUGAUUGAAAUUGAAAUUUAACAAUUAGUUCAAUUCCACAAAAAAAUAAAAAUAAAAAAAUGAUUGAAUCUAUGAUGAAUCUAGUAAAAGUUAAAUAAAUUCCAAUGUAAAUUCAUAAAAGAAAGUCUAGAUCUAAAAGUGUUUGGCCAUAAAAAUACCAAUUUGCAUGAAUAAAUGAUGUGAAGUCUCCAAAUCCAAUGAAUUCCUUCGUAACUUCACCUAGGAAUUUAGUUCUCCAUCAAAUUCUUUAUGCGAUUUUAAUUUGAUUUGUAAAAAUAUUAUGGUCAUAUUUAACUUCUUUUGACUUCUAAUUGCACCCAAUGGACUCCUAGCUUUCUCGAAUCAUCAUUUCAUCGCACGUCUCAUCUUUAGAUUGUUUGCAACUUGAUCCUUGAACUUUCACUUUCUUCUAUUUUGGUCAUUUCUCGUUCUUUUCUUCUAAAUUUCACAUUUUCUACCAAAAUGCAACUUGAAUCAAAGUAUAAGUAUAAUGAUGCAUUUUGGUAUCAAAUAAUCGCAUGAAUGCAAUAAUUAAGAUAGGAAAAUAUUAUAUUUUACACUCUUAUCACACCCCCAACUUACUUAUUGCUAGUCCCUAGCAAUUUAAUACAGAAUAAGCAAAUAAAUGAUUAGAUUGUGAUACAAGUGAAAUUAUUAAGUUUCAACUUAACCGUAAUUCAUGUUCUUUUCACACUUAACACCACAAGAACUUAACAAUGUCAUGACUAUCAAGAUAUCAAAAACAUUUACCAAAUGUGUGAGUGUGUGUCAAGCCAUAACCAUCUUACCGUCCACCCUAACACAUGCAGCAAUAAGUAUGUCUCAAGCUGAAGGUUCAACAACAUAAUUCACGGGUAUCAAAGUGUUUAGUGCGAUUUUGUCUCUAUGGAGUUGAGAAAGGGUAUACAUUCAUAACUUGGAGGCUUAAAUAUUUCUGAAUAAGCCAUUGAUAUUGUGAUAGGCAUAUUUCCAAAUGAGAAUCCAUCACUUCUUACCACAACAAUACUUGGGAUCAAAUCAGUUAAUAUAAAAGGUUGUAAUGCAGUUUGAGUUAAACUAUAUGAAAGGAGGGAUAUAAUGAUUUAAAAACUUCCAAGUACAUAGCCAAGUGUAGCAUCAAGCUUCUCAAUGGAUCACAUCAACACAUUCUAUAUUACUUUCAACCCUCAAAAUCAAUUAUUAAAAAAAAAAAAAAUCUUUUUUUUGUUUUGUUUUUUGUUUUUGUUUUUGUUUUUUGGUUUUUGUUUUUGUUUUUGUUUUUUUGAAUAACAUUCUCUUCUUCUUCUUCUUUUAACUUUUAUGACUUCACUAGAGCACUUAUCAACUUUUGUCAUCUCUUUGCUUAUUUUCUUCACAAUUAAACCUCCAACACCUACUAUACACUUGGAAGUGAAAAGAUGGGCAAACACAUGUAUAGGUCUCACUUCAAUGUAGAGGGAAAGGGAUAGCACGGGUGCAUGAAGAAAAAUGUUAGACAUGUGUGUGUAUUGGUUCAAAGUGGCUACUAAGGGUUAUAAUCAUGAAAGAAAAUUCGCUUGAAAGGUUAAGAUUUCAUCCUAAAUUGACUGUCAUCAUUUUCCUAGUAAUCAACAAUCAUACCACAAACCAUGUAACGUUAUUCUCAAAAGAGUUUCCAAUUCACAAAACCAAUGGAUGCUUAUUACCAUUUUUAGUAUAUAUGGCUCUCAAUCCUCAUCAAUUCUCUCACAAGAAAACUUCAGCAAGAGACUUUUCUAACUACAUGUGUUAAACCACUAUCUCACCACAAGACUUGUGUGCACAAAACGAUUCAACAAGUGUCUCAACAUCUAGACUCACAUGAACAAUAUCAACUCUUAAUGUCAUAUUUUGUCAUUCAAGAACAUGGACAUGUAGCAAAUAGAGACUUGAGGAAAAAUUAAGACCAAAAUUUCAUGUAAAUCAUGCAAUUCACAACAAAAUUUAAGUUAAACUCUCCCCCAACUAAACAUUGCAUUGUUCCCAAUGCAAAACAUGUCUGCCAAAUAAGGAUAAGGAAAGAUGUCACUUGAGUGCCGAAAUGAAUCACAUGAGCUGAAAUAUAAGAAGCCUGAAAGUCUUCAAUGGAAAAGUUGAUGCAGAAAAUAAGAAUAAACUAGAAUGUAGUGAAUAAUGGAUGCAAUGCAAAUAAACCUAAGAAAUGUAGAAAUAAGAUAAAACAAUGGAAAAGAACUCCCCUUGGGUUGCCUUCCAUGCAACGCCUUUAUUUAUUGUCAUUAGCUCGACCCAAUGUUUAUUUCUUUAGCUCGCAUCCAACCAGGGUGUUGUCAACACUCUUUGCAUUGCACCAAGCUCAGUGGAAAUAAUCGUCGGUGAUGUUCCACAAUCCUACAAAUCGUCAAAUGCAGCACAAAUAUUAGCAUAUUCCCCAUCAUCAUACCCUGUUAAAAUUUUAGAAUUUAAAAGAAAAGAGUUUAAAAGGUUGGCGUCAAUAAUUGCAGAUGUUUCCUUCUGAACGAGUGCAUCAAUCAUGAAUGUUUGAUGACACUCGUCAUCCUCCUCAAGUUGCUUCAUGAUGUGAAAGAUAUUGGCGUCCAGGGUCAUGUUCCCAAAUCAUAGUUUCAUUAGACCAUUCCUGCAAUUGAUAAGAGCAUUAGCUGUGGCAAGAAAAUGUCUACCAAGAAUUAUGGGAAUUUUGGAGUUAACAUUCACAUCAACUUUUAGGUCCAAAAUCAAGAAGUCAAUAGGGUAGUAAAAUUGGUCAACUUGUACCAACACAUCCUCAACUACUCCCCUAGGCCUAAUAGUGGAUCGAUCGGCCAACUAUAAACUUACUGAUGUGGAUUUCAUCUCUUCUAGCCCUAACGACAAAUAAAUAUUAUACGGCAUGAUGUUGACACUAGCUCCUAGAUCAAGAAGGGCUUGUGAAAUCUCAUGGUUCCCGAUAAUGCAAGAGACAAUAGGACAACUAGGGUCUUUAUACUUUGGUAUGAUCUUUUGCUCAAUCACAGCACUCACAUGUUCAGUUAAGAAAGCAAUUUUCUUGACAUGGUAUUUCCUCUUCACAAUGCAUAAGUCUUUAAUGACUUUAACAUACGUAGGAACUUGAGAAAUCACGUGCAAGAGAGGCAAAUUGAUUUUUACUUGUUUAAGAUGCUCUAGGAUUUCAUUGUGUUGAGUGGUUGACUUCGAGGUAGAUUUGAGGGCUUGAGGAAAAUGUACCCUAACUGGAGCUUCUACUACUUCUUCACUGGGGUUACUCUCAUUAGGCUCACUUGAUUCUUUUUCAUUCUUCCUAGAUUGAAGGGAUAGUUCAAUGACUUUCCAAGAUCUAGUGUUUAUGGCAUUUAUUUUCUCAAAGUUGGUCUCUCCCGAUCCCAAAAUUUGUGUCAUGUGUUGCCCUUUUGAAUUUGGUUGAGCUUGAGCUGGAAAUUUCCCACGUUUCCCUACAACUAAGGUAUUGGUUAGUUUGGACACAUGAUUCUUUAUCUCUUUAUUUUCCUCAACUAACUAGCCAAUCAUAGUCUCAAAUUUUUUAUUUGUUUUACCCUGUGCCUCAAUAAAUGCAUGUACAGUAUUUUCUAAGUAAUUCCUAGAAGAUGUAAGUUGACAUGGGAGUGCAUUGUAAGCUCUAUUGGAUUGGGCAGGUUGUUGGUUUUCAGACUUCCAGCUAAAGUUGGGGUGAUUCCGCUAUCUUGGGUUGUAAGUCUUGGAGUAAAGAGUAUAGGGCUUUUGAUAUACACCUAAAGCAUUACAGUGUUUCUCAUAAAGUCCCCUCAUCUCAGUAUAAGUGGCACAUUCCUGUGCUGGGUGAUCAUUCCCUCCAUACACAAAACAAGGCUCUAAAGACUCAACAUGGGAAACAAAUCGAGUGGUUUUUGAAUGCUUAACACGCAGGUUUUCAAGUUCUUUAGUGAGGGUUUCUACCUUUGCUCUAAGAUUAUCUUUCUCCCUAAGAUAAUAAAUACCUAUACUAUUUGGGUUUCCAGUGGGUUGUGACCUAUUAGUACUCUUAGUGGUACUAGGUCCAGUCCAGGUAUGAGCUUUCUCAGUUAAGUCAUCUAAGUAGUCUAUAGCCUCAUAUGGGUCUUUUUGCAAAAAUUUACCAUCACUCAUCAUUUCAACAAAUUGACGCUCCCUAGGUAAUAAUUCCUCAUAAAAAUAACUCACAAUGCGCCAACUUUCAUAACCGUGGUGAGGGCAGAGAGCUUGCAAUUCUUUGUACCUUUCCCACGCUUGAUAUAAAGUUUCACUCUCCUUUUGAGUAAAAAAAGAUAUUUGGUUUUUCAAUGCAGGUGUUUGUGGUGGGAAAAGUACUUGCCAAAGAAUGCUUAGGUCAUUUCAGCCCAAGUCCCAAUCGAACGUGGUCGCAAUGAAAACAACCAGCUCUUUGCUCUUUCUUUAAGAGAAAAUGGAAAAAAUUUAAGUCUGACCGCAUCCAUUGUACCAUGUUGAUUGUGAAAAGUUGUAACAACCUCUUCAAAUUCCCUGAUAUGUACAUAUGGGUUUUCAUUUUCAAGAUCGUGAAAAGUUGGAAGAAGUUGGAUCAUUCCUGGUUUAAGGUCCAUAUGUGGCACAUUAGGUCGAAAUAUAAUGUAUGAUGGUGUAGAUGUGCGUGUGGGGUAAAGAUAAUCAUGCAAAGUCCUAGUUGGUGCAUCUUCGUGUUCACUAUCAGUCAUUGUGUUAUGUGAUGUGAUGUGAUGUGAUGUGAUGUGUGUGCCAAUAGAUUCAGUAUCAAAGAGACGGUUAGGAAGAGGUUCAAACACUGGUUAUGGCCUUGCAAUGAAUCGUCCUCGCUUGUCUCGAUCUCUGUUCAUAAAACACCAAAAAAUAUGAAAUUUUGUGAGAAAUAACAGAAUAAAAACUAGUAAAAUUAAACUAACUAAAAAAAUGUAAAAGAUGAACGAAAUCACCAUUUUGCUUAAAAAUCCUUCGAUUAUUUGCACCGUCUCUCUGGCAACCGCGCCAAAAUUUGAUUAUGCCCAAAGAAUAACGCGAUAGUUGUAGCACAGUUUUGGGGUGUCGAUUCCACAAGGAGAUUGAUGAAUUGUUUAAAGGAUUUAUCGAACUAGGAUUUCGUGAAUUAUGUGAAAAUAAUUUGUCAAUUGGAAUGAGAUUUAAUUAUCAAUAUGCGAGAUUAGUGAAGCGUCCGAAUUCCUUCAAUUGGAUUGGAUCAUCAACAUUAAUAAUUCAUAACUUUUUGCUCAAUUAGAUAUUUUCAUCCCAACUCUCUAAUUGGAAGAUUUAACAAUGAAGAUCAAUCAAAUUUCAAUUGUAAUCCUAGGAUCUAAACUUUUGUAAACCAUUCACACACAUGUUUAUUGGACAAGAUUAAGAAUCGACUAUAUACAUAAUGCAUAAGGUAGUAAAUAAUCCACCAAUAAAGUUGAUUGAAAUUAAAAUUUAACAAUUAGUUCAAUUCCACAAUUAAAAAAGAACAUGAUUAAAUAUAAAGAAUCUAAUAAAAGUUAAAUAAAUUCCAAGGUAAAUUCAUAAAAGAAAGUCUAGAUCUAGAAGUGUUAGACAAUAAAAAUACUGAUUUGCAUGAAUAAAUGAUGUGAAGUCGUCAAAUCUAAUGAAUUCCUACGUAGUUUCACCUAAGAAUUUAGUUCUCCAUUGAAUUCUUUAACCCAAGAUGAGGGAAAAUUGUUAUGGAGGUGAAGAGACGUGUUCUGUCCAGUCUAGGGGUUAAAAUCGUGUGCCAAGUUGUUUCCAAAAGAGGUUGAACCGAAUAAGGAAACUAAAUUUUUGGCUAGAAUAUUUUGUGCAACUACUUUUAGUAUUUUGAUCAUAACUUUUUGUUCUCAUAUCCAAUUUAAGAAGUACAAGGUGUGUUGGAAAGCUAAUACAAAGGGCUACAAUUCUUCUAGAAAUAGCGCUUUCCAAAUUUGGAUGUUUACUGGGUCAAAUAUUGAUUUCAAUCUCUAGCUGAAAAUCUGGAAAAUUCUUAUAUGGUUGUAAUUUGAUGUGUGAAAAUAUUAUGGUCAUAUAUUUAACUUCUUUUGACUUAUAAUUACACCCAAUGGACUUCUAGCUUUCUCGAAUCAUCAUUCCAUUGCCAGUCUCAUCUUUAGAUUGUUUAUACCUUGGUCCCUGAACCUUCAUUUUCUUCCAUUUUGGUCCUUUCUCGCUUUUUUCUUCUAAAUUUCACAUUUUCUACCAAAAUGAACCUAAAUCAAAGCAUAAGUAUAAUUAGUGUAUUUUGGUAUCAAAUAAUCACACGAAUACAAUAAUUAAGAUAAGAAAAUAUUAUAUUUUACACUUAUAAAUAUUAAUUGAUAACCUUAAAAUAGCUAAUCAAGAGGGGGAUGAAUUUGUUAUUAAAAAACUUUUUAAAAAAUAAGUCUAAAAUUAAACAAAUCCAACAGCAAAUAAGUAAAUCAAUCAAAUAUGCAUAAAAACGAAAGCAAUAUGUAAAAGAAAAGAGAGUAUGCAAAUGAUGUAAUCUUGGCCGUUCUAUUCUAUCCAAUGAUCUACAUCCUUCGUGGUAGUUCUCCGUCACAAGCAAGACCCUUUUUAUGAAGAAAGAUGUUACGAUCCUAUAACCAAUCAUUUUUACACGUCAAUUGAUGAAGCAUCUUUAUGGUGGACAUCUCAAAGGGUGGAAUUGCUAGAUUCAAAGAAAAUUGAUGACAAAUUACAAUAGGAGAUCACAGAAGUACAAAAAACCCAAAGGAAACAAAAAAUGCAUAAGAAUAAAGUGCCAAGAAGGAGUAUACUACUGCAAUUCAAAAUUCUUGGCAGAUGGGUGUAUAUCAGACAAUGCUAGAAGAGAUAAGGUCGAGUCACUAAGAGGAGGCCAAGGAAGAAUUAAGGCCCCAACCAUAAUUGAGAAAAUUAACUAGACAGAGAAAACCAAAUCCCCAAGUAUGCUAACGUAACAAUAGAAGAAGAUAGCAAUAUCAAAGAUCUGGAACCUUUGAACAAGCGAUCCAACAUAAGAAAUGAAAAAAGCAAUGAAAUAAGAGUUCAUGGCUCAAGGUAAAAUAAGACUUGGGAUUUAAUGCUAAGGCCUCAUGGAGUAAGGCCUAUAUCCUGCAAGUGGGUAUACAAAGUACAAAAACAUCUUGACGGAUCAAUAGAAAGAUAUAAGACCCGACUAGUAGCUUGUGGAUUAUCAAAACAAUAUGGAUUAGACUAUGAUGAAACAUUUAGUCCAGUGGCAAAGAUUACUACAAUACGAGUUCUUAUAGCUUUUGUAACGAGCAAGUCUGCAAGCUAUGGCAGAUGAAUGUUAAAAAUAUGUUUCUCCAUGAGGACUUGAUUGAGGCAUUUACAUAGAGUAACCAAAGGGACUCGAGAACAAAGAAAAGCCGGGGUAUGUUUGCAAGUUAACAAAGGCUCUCUAUAGGUUAAAGCAGCUACCACAAUCGUGUAUAGUUAGAUAGCUGAAUUUUUAGGUCAAAGUGGUUACUUGGUAACACUUGUAGACUUGAGCCUAUUUGUUAAAGCAUGAAAUAGAAAAUUAACAAUAAUGCUAUUGUAUAUGAAUGAUCUUAUCAUCACCUGAGACGAAGAAGACGAAAUUCAACGAACUAGAAAUAAUCUAUCAGUGAGAUUCCAAAUGGAAGAGUCUAAAGGGCUAAAUCAUUUUUUGAGACUCAAGAUGGAAGAACAAAAGAAGGAUUACUCUUGUGCCAGGAUAAUUAUACCUGAGAUCUCUUACAAAAGUUUGGGAUGAUCGAUUACAAACCAAUAUCGAUACCAAUCAAAAUUAACUUCUAGCUAUAUGCAAACAAAGGCAUGGACUUGGAGAAUGCACCAUAAACCGGAAUCUAGUAGGAAGCUUGAUCAAAUUAACGCUAACACGAACCAACAUCGCAUACACAGUUGGAAUAGCAAGAUGCAUCAUGGAAAUGUUGAAGAAGCCGUACCUUGAAUUAGUGCGACGAUCUUAAGGAUAAUUUUCUUUUAUCUUCUUCAUUAUCUCCUAUCUAGGUUUAUGAAUAGUUUGAUUGGGUUUAACAUCAACUUUAAUAGUCUUAGUGGGCACAUAGGGACAAUGUUCAAUAACUUCCCAAAUAUUGUAAUCUAUUGUUUGAAUGUAAAUCAUCAUCCUGGCUUUCUAAUAAUUGUUAUGUGUGCCAUCAAAGAAGGAAUGAUGAUUUGUAAAAUGCUCUUCAAGAUUUUGAAUAUUUGGAUUAUCUAUUACACAAUAUUGUGAACUCUUUUAAAAUGAGCACCUUUCUCUAAUACCAAUUGAUAAACCAAGAAUAACUAAUCAAGAGGGCUGUGAAUUAGUUAUUCAAAUUUUUUUGAAAAAUAAGUAUGUAUAUAUAUAUAUAUAUAUAUAUAUAUAUAUAUGGAAGAUGUAUAUUAAUCUCAUAGUACUAAAAAUAAUCCCCCAAUACACUAUAUAGUUAAGCUCCUCUGUGGUAGGAUUUUUUAGAACAGAUUUUGUGAAAAGUAAUUUUUUUAGAGAAUGUGUGGUUAAAUAUUAGAAAAAAAAUUAUGAAUCAAUGUGAAAGAUUAUUUUAUUAGAAGAAUGUGUGAUUCGUAAUGAUUUUGAAGAAAAAUGAAUUUUAGAAAUAGAGCCAAAUGGGGGCUAAGCAUCACAUCAACACAAUAUUUCGUCCUUAUUUGGUAUUAAUUAAAAUGUUAUAUAUAUAUAUAUAUAUAUAUAAGUCAAUCAAUCAAAAUGUACAAAUACGAAAGCAAUAAGUAAAGGGGAAGAGAGUUUGCAAACGACGUAAUUGUGAAGCUUCGAUCCUAACUUAAUGAUCUAUGUUCUUCGUACCAAGCACUUCAUCAAGAGAAAGGUCUUUUUUACUAUAUUGAUUGAUUUAUAGUGCGAUCCAACCUUUUACAAUGCUUCCAAUAAGUUACAAUCAAUGAGAAUUGAUCCUUUUACAAUAUAGAGCUUUACGGGACCUCUAAAUGACCACAAAUUCAAAGAGUAAUUGUGUUUACAAUUUGAACUUCUCUCUUAGUAAAUGAUAUAAUCAAAAUUAAGUACUAAGAGAGAAAUGGGCUAACACUUUAAUGAAUAGUAAUGGAUGAAGCUCAAGAAUCAGGUAAAAAAAACUUUGAUAAGAAGAAUGAUUUUUAAAAGUUAAUUCAAUCAAAAGUUUUUUUUAAAAUAAUUGAUUUGAUUUGAUGAAGAUAAACAAAGAGUGUAAUAAAUUUGCUCAAGACUAUCUCACUUUAAUGCUCAUAAAAGUGUUACAAUGAAAAGUGAGGUGGUAAUUAUAGCAGUUAAAACGUUAAAAGUUUUGUCCAACUGGAUGGCUCAAUCAAACUUUCACUUCUGAACCAAGCACUGAACUUGUUUUUGUGCGUCAAAAUUUUAGAACGGUUAAACAACUUGACCAUUGGAUGAACCGGAUGUUCACUAGGUCAACCAAACCUCCGCUUGGACAAAUUUCCCAGAUUUUUCCUUCUUUGAUUAUUUUGAAAAUAUACAUCUUUGAAGGACAUUUUCAUUUAAUUUUUAAAGUAAGUGACACUUCUAAGAAGUUUGAAGAAUAAUUCAAUGCAAGCAUUUUUAAGAAAUAACUUUUUUGUGCACAAAAAUUCAUCUUGAGUUUUUGAUAAUUCAUUGCUAACGAUUAAAGUAUUUUACCUUUACAUAUGAAUCCAAAAAGAUAUAAUUCUAAUGUCUUUGGCUGUUGAAGUGCUUGUGAAUGAUUGAUUUUUGCGUCCAUGCUCGACUUCCAUCUUGAUCUUCAUUGGGAAUCAAUUUGUGAAGCUUUUGAUAGUGAUCGUUUUGUCUUCAAUUGAUCAACUUUGCCACAAUAGCUAUAACAACUCGAAUUCAGAUGUUAGAAAUUAAAGCAAACUGUUUGUUAUAAUCAAAUGUAGAAUCAACCAUAGGUCAACAAUUUCCCCAUUUUUUAUUAUGAAAAACAAAAGAUGAUUUGCAAAAAGUUUAUAGAUGAAGGAACAUGUUAGAUAUCAGUAUACCUCAUAUAUUCCCCUUAUCUCAUUUAUCAUUUCUCCCUUUUAGAAUAAGCAAAAAGAAUAACAAUGGAAGGAUUCAAGUGCACAAGUAUAGAUAAAGAAAAUCAAUAAUAGGCACUUGUUAAAUGAACGAUAUUGCAUUGAAGACAUAGAACUAAAUAUCAUGAUUGUAUCUAAGACAUGAAAGCACAAUAUAUAAAAAUAUAAAAACACAUAGAACAAAAGAAUGAAAACUAUGGCUCCUGAGGUGGCAGCGGAGGAAAGUGAGUAUAGAAGACAUUUAGUUGAGCUUGCAUCGUUGCUUGAUGCACUUGAAUGGCAUCCUGCUGUGCUUGUAUUAUGGCUUGUUGAGCUAGUACCUAGUAAAGCAUGUGAGAAAAUCAAUGCGUCCGUUUUGAAGAUUGUAGUGGUCUUCGGUAAAUGUGAAGCCACCGGUUAGAACGAGGAGCACUAGAGCCCAGUAUAUCGUGACGAGGACUCGAAACAUGUGGUACAUUAUCCCUUGGCUCUUCUUCAUCACUCUCAAAAGGUAGAGUCGAUGGACCCGGAGUGAGGUCAAACCCAUUUGUAUGUACAACCCAUUAAUCAUAUUCUUUUACAAUUUUAAUUCAUUUGAGGGUAUGAAUGUUUAUGUUGGUCGGGAAAAGUUCAACAAAGUUUCACCAUUUAAUGGAAUAUUAAAAUAAUUGAAUUUUUUUGUGGGAAUAUCACGAAUAAGAGUUUUGUUGAUGGUGAUACGUGCAUUUUCAAGUAGAUAUGUUAUGUCAUCCGAGCGAGGAAUAAUGAUAAUGAUUUUAUAAAAUCUUUCAUGAGUUUGGAUAUGCAUGUUCUUCUAAUGUUGCAAUAGACAUGCAACCCAUAUUUUCAAACAAUUCUUCUAUAUGAAAUGUGGGUGCCUUUAUUGUGAAAUUGGCAAAAUCAACAUUUAAAUCUCUUAAAAUGGGUGAUUUCUCUAUGGGUUCGCAACACCUAGGGCUCCAAAUCCAUUUCUUCGUCAGAAGAAGGUGGUGGAGAUUGCCUAACGUUGUCUUGAAUUGUUUUCCAGCUCGUUCAGAUCUCGUUGUGGCAACCAAUUGAUGAAAUAUGGGUAAAGAUCGGGCUUGAUUUUGAGAAGGAGAUGAAAUGUUGAGUAAAUUUUGAAAUUUUUGAGAGAGAAAAGACGUAGAUGUGAUGGGUCUGUGAAUUUUGUGAGUAUUUGAUUUUUAGAUGUAUUAAAAUGAAGAAUUUGGAGGUAAUAUAGGAAAAAGAUAGAGAGAGGGAAAAAUGAGGAAAAAUGGAUGUUGCUAAGCGAUUUAAAAGCUGAAAUCGCAUUGAACUGCAUGUCCGAUUCGUUUAUCUAGACAUCCAUAUUGAUAGAGUGCGAUUUAGGCCAAAUUUUCUAUCUAACGGGAUAAGGUGUCUGGACAGUCCGUUUAACUUGUCCGAAUGACCCCUAUUUUAAUGCAAAAGAAAUGGAAACAAAUUCAUAAUAUGCAAUCAACUUAGUUAUGAACUUCAAAUUCGUUAAUAAUUUCUAAACAACUUCUAAUAUGUGAGAAUCAAUCAAGUCCAAGAGGUAUUGUGAAGAAUCACACAUGACACGUAUAUGAUCAAAAGAUAAGUAAUAAUCACUGAAGCUUUUAUCCAUAGCACUUGUGCACAACAACUAGCGAUGAGAUAUAUUUGGCUUCGACAGUAGAUAAUGCAACAAAAUUUUGUUUUUUAUUAAACCAUGACACUAGUACAAAGCCUAGAAAGUAACAAAUGUCACUACUGCUUUUACAAUCAAUUAUUUAUUGGCCCAAUCGGCAUCCAAGUUGCUUAGUAGGUUAACAUGAGUGUCUUUUGGAUACCAAAGCUUUAAGGUUUUAGUGCCAUUAAGAUAUCUAAAAAUUCUCUUCACAGCACUACGAUGUGAUUCUUUAGGAUUUGAUUGAGAUCUAGUGCAUAAGCACACAUUGAACAUAAUAUCGGGUCUACUUGCAAUUAAAUGAAGAAGGGAUCUGAUCAUACCUUGAUAUUUUGUUACAUCGACAGAAAUGUCAUGAUCAUCUUUGUCCAAUUUUAUGAUGAACUCAUUGGAGUGUUCAUCAGCUUGAAGAUUUCCAUUUCGAAUUUUUUGAGCAUAUCCGAUAUAUAUAUUUUUUUGCUAGUAAAUAUCCAAUUAUUAGUUUGUAUAAUUUGUAGUCCAAGAAAGAAUUCUAAUUCUCCCAUCAUGCUCAUUUCAAAUUCUUUACUCAUACAUUUGGAAAAUUCUUCACAAAGAGAGAUAUUAGUUGCACCAAAAAUAAUAUCAUAAAUAUAAAUUUGAAUAACAAUCAUAUCACUCUUUUCGAUUUUGACAAAGAGGGUAAUAUCCGCUUUUCCUAAAAAAAAUGAACCUUCUGAGAGUAGAAAUUUUUUUAAUCUUUCAUACCAAGCUCUAGGGAUGUCAAAUUGGCUCGGUGGCUCGACUCGGGAAAAGCCUGAGUUGGCCCAGCUUGUGGCUCUGAUGAAGCGAGCUUAGGCUCGGGGCAAGCCCUAUUUUGGGGCAUUGGCCCAAGCUUGAGGCGGCCGUUGUGGCUUGGCGAGCACACGGGCCGACUUGUGUUACGGGGCAAAAAAGGCUCAUGACAAAGCCUGAUUUGCCCGAAAUUAAAAAAAUAAAAAAUAAACAAAAUAGUCAACAUAGCUGCCUUAAGAAACCUAUACUUUUCUACCUUUUUUUACAAUUCAAUUGACGAGAUAGUCUCGUAAAUUGAAAUUUUCAAAUUCAAAUUUGGAGAAAGAUAGAUUUUUUUGAUUAUAAAUAUAGGAUAAAUUUUAAGUUUCAGAUCAAUUAAAUUGCAAUAUUAUAUAUUCAAGUUUCAACUUCAAUUUCUUUGCUCUCAAUCUCAUAUUUAAUUUCUUUCAUUCUAAUGUUCAAUAUUUUAUACUAUACUAGUUAUAAAUGGAUUUUAUUAAUGAUGAGCUUAAUCAGUUUAAGAGUAGCUUGAGUACUCCAUCCGAUUACAAUGCAUCCCAAAAUGUUCCAAUUGAUUUGAAGAAUAUUGAAGAUGAAGAAGUAUUUGAGAUUAAAGGGUCGAAAAAAGAAUAAUAGGAUUGUUGGCAAUAUAUGACAUGUAAAAAAAUUGGUGCUAGAAAAUGGAAUGGAUAUAUGGAAAGCAUGUUACAAUUAUUGUGGCAAAUAACUUAGUUGGAUGCCCGACUUUCGAGUGCAAUGCAUUUGAACAGACACAUAUUAAGGAGUUGCAAAGCGAAACCAGUCGAUCUUGACCCAAAACAGACUGAACUAGAGUUUAGCGGUUCUUGUUAUACUAUUUCCACCUUUGUAUAUUCACAGAAAAGAUUUCGUGAAGAAAUGGCUACAUAUGUGGCGGCAACAGAUAUGCCGCUUAUGAUGAUGGAUUCAGUACACUUUACCCGGCUCGUACAGAAAUAUCUCCAACCCAGGUAUUCUUCUUAUUGUAAAAAUACUCUUCAUUCGGAAACUAUAAAUUAUCUAAAAAAAGAAAACAAGUUGCUAUUGAAGGUUUAAAAACUUUUAAUAGUGUUAUAUCAUUUACAUUUUAUUUAUGGACCGGUGGAAAUAGAAAAUGUUAUAUUGUUGCUAUAGCUCAUUAUAUUGAUCACAUGUGACUUUUACAUAAAAGGAUUAUUGCAUUUAGAUGUGUAGAAUAUUCUCAUAAUGUCACUAACAUAUACAUGGUUUUAAAAUAUAUCAUACUGGAAUAUGGUAUACAAGAUAUGGUUCGAAGUUUUACUUUUUAUAACGCUAGUGUGAACAAAGGUGUUAUUGAAAGAUUUAUUAAUGAUCUUAACCCUAUAUUUGGAACUUACUUUUUCAUCAACGUUGUGUAUGCCAUAGUAUCAAUUUGACUGUAAAAGCUAGAUUAGAACAUAUAAGUUGUCCCCUACAGUCUCGACUCGAUUUCUUCUAGUCGUUGUUGCCAUCACGAUCUCCACGACCACCACCUGCUACCAUUCAUGGUGUUGCUCGAUAAUGAUCUUUCAAUGGCUAUCUUCAAGCGACAGUAAGAUUAGAGUGAAGCCACAGAGUUCGUGAGAGAAUGAAAUACCUAAUUUAGGGUUUAGUAGUUAUAGAGAGAGAAAAUGAAAGGGAUAAUGAAGAUAAAUUUAGGUUUAUAAUAUAAUUAUUAAUAUUUAAAUAUAUCAAUUAAUUAAUUAAUAAAAUAUCUGAUUUUUGAAAUAGUAAACUUCACCUGUGAUUUAUGAAAUGGGAUCCCUAAAUCUAUUAGUUUGUGUAAUUUCCAUUAACAUUAAUUAUAUCGACCUAAGAUUGUAAUUGGUAGCCCAAAGAAUAGAUGGACCAAGAAUCUCACUAUUGGAAAUUAGGGACAAUUAGAGGCUCGACUGACUUAUUAUAUGGCCCAAUUGUCACUUACCAUACUUAAGACUAUAAACGGGUUUUCACCUUUGAGAGAAUAAUAGGGAACUUACAAAAAAUACCCUUAAAAUUAGGAGUCUUUUACUUUGUAAAAUUAAAAAGUGAUAAUAUCACUUUAAAAAAAAUGUGUAAAAAAGUGGCACAAUGUCACUUUUAAAAAUUUAGUAUCACUUUUUUAUUAAAAAAUUACAUAUAACGUCACUUUUAUUAAAAAGUGAUAUUUGUCACUAAAAGAAUUGAUAGAAAUUUCAAGAAGACGACUAAGAAAAGUCACAAAAAUUCAAAAAAAAAGUGACAAUUACUAAAACAAGUGACAAAAAUUUUAAAAAAAAAAAGUGACAAAAAUUUAAAAAAAAAAGUGAUGAAUUUAAGAAAGUUACAUAAAUUGGAAAAAGUUACAUAGAUUCAAAAAGAGUGACUAAAAAUAAAAUAAAAAUGACAAACACACAAAAAGUGGCAAAAUUCAAAAAAAGUGACACAAAAUCAAAAAAUGUGACAAACACUCAAAAGUGACGAAAUUUAAAAACAAAAAAGAAAGAGAGAAAACCUUGUAGAAUAAUUAGUACUUAUUUUACUCUGUUAAAAUUUUUGGUAGAAAUAAAAGUGAUGUUUGUAAAAAAAAAAAAUGGUGGUAGAAAUCAAUAAGGUGACUGAAAAAAGGGACACAUUGAAAGAAAAGUGACAAAAUUUCAAAAAAAGUGAUAAAAAUUUUAAAAAUUGAGAAAAAAUUUUAAAAAGUGGGAAAUUCAAAAAAGUGACACAAAUUUUUUAGAAAAAAAAGUUACACAGAUUAAAUAAAGUGAUAAAAAAAAGUGACACUCAAAAAGUAACAAAAUUAAAAAUAAAAAAAAAAGUGACAAAUUCAAAAAACUAACCCAAAAAAGGGUGGCUGAUAAUAAAAAAAAAAAAAAAAAAGUGACAUUUUACCACUUCUUUUUUUAAUGACAAACGUCACUUUUUAAUAAAAGUGAUAUUGUAUGUUGUUUUUUAAUAAGAAAGUGACACUUUUAAAAUUAACAUUGUGUCACCUUUUUUUUUAAUUAAAAAGUGACAAUUUUAAUUUUUUUUUUUUUUAAAAAAAGGGUGGCCCAAAAAAUGCCACUUUCACUCGCCCCUUUUGUUCAUGAGUUCAAUCCCAAAAUUGAUUCGUUUAAUUGAUGAAUUGAUGCAAUUGAAGGAGGAUCCGCCGUCAUACAACAUUAAUUGAAGGUUGGAUCCUAGAAUUGCUGGGUUGAAGUGUUGUGGAGUUCUCAAAUGAAAGGGGAUCAACGAACCUAGCUUGUGCGUGUACUACUUGGCUUGAUUCGACCUUAUUGGUUCGAAAUUGGUGUGACCCAUGGGUUCAUUGGACAUGAUAAGGCUGUGCUAGGUGUGAUAGUCCGCGAUCGUAGGUUGCGUCAUCUGUGCCAAAAAUCAUGAUUGAAGGGUUCGAGUUUGCUGUUGCAAAGAAGGCUAGAGAAUUGGAUUUUUUUGCAUUGUCUGCUAUUAUAUUCACAUCUGUUGGUGCGUAAUGAUGAGCAUGGUCAAGUUGGAGAGUGGGCGGGUGAUGGUUGUCGCCGGAAGUGGCAUUUUCAGCCUUUUUGGUUGCGUGGGCAACCUACUUUGACUGGAAAUUCCGACUAGUUUCUAAUAGAUUUUGCUGACUUUCAAAAAGUUUUAUGUUUUCAAAUCACUAAAAACGUAAUUAGUACGGUUUUUAAAACUUUAAUUUGAUUUAAAUGUAUAAAUCAAUUACUGUCCANNNNNNNNNNNNNNNNNNNNNNNNNNNNNNNNNNNNNNNNNNNNNNNNNNNNNNNNNNNNNNNNNNNNNNNNNNNNNNNNNNNNNNNNNGGGUAUUGUGUCUAAUUUCCUGAGAAUAAUUAUAGACAUAGCUUUUGUUUGAGUUUCAUUCUUUUGAAAAAAAUAUCUUUUUUAACAAUAUUUUGACAUCAUUUCAAUCAUACAUUUUUCAAUUAAAUAAUGUUACAUGCAAAUUCAAAAUUUUUCCUUAUUUAUUAAUCACAUAUUUUUUAUCAAUACACUAUUCAAAAAUUUGUUUUUCCCGCCUCAAAUUCACUAUCUCCAUCUCAACUUUGAGAGAGAGCAACUGCCUUGGUCUUCUCCUUCGACCUCUACCUUCUUCUUCGUGACCCAUCUCUCCUCCCUUUAGCAACCUCCAAUACCUUCUUGUGGUGUGAUUCUCUCACUGGAUUCUGCUCCUUUCACGGCUCCUCUUUGCCCGCUUCUCGAUGCAUUUCUUUGGACGAUUCCUCUGUGGUUUGAUUGAGAUUUCGGGGUUCAAUCGAGUGUGGUGUUGCCUUGUGAUCUUGGGCUGUUAAAAUCUAAGCCCUAUAAUUCCACAUAUUGCUGCAAUCGUGAUUUUGAUUGGGGAGUUCCAUUCUUGCUCAUUUUAAAUUGAUUUAAUUAUUAUUAUUCAAUUAAUUUGGAGCUUACUUUAUGUUUGUUGUUUCAAUUGAAGGUUGUUUUAUUCCCCAUAAACUGGAAUCAAAGCUUGGCUGAUCCGGUGACUGCGAAAUCGAGCCUCAACUGGUUCCUGCAUGUUUCGCAAUUGAAUAUGUAAAGUCUGCUAUGACUUGGACGUAUGUACCUGUAAUCUGACAUUCCUGAUUUUGCAAUAAGCACCAGAAUCCUUAAAUUAUUUUCGCAUUUCUCAUUUGUAGGAACCACAGAUAGGCUCGCUGAAGUAAACUGGCUGAUCGUUUUUUAAAUUUCUUCAAUAGCAAUCUAUCAUUUGGGGUAGCUAUUAUGAUAGGGGUUAUUGUCUGAGGUAACCAUUCCCUAUUACUAGAAAUUAGGAUUACUGGCCAAUAAUCUAGAUAUUGUCAUUAUUUGGAUAUUUUUGUUGUUGCGAAAUUCCAUGUGUUGCUAAGUUGAUUAUUGGCCAGAAUUGUUACCGAGACCUUAUGGCUGGAAAAUUCCAUUGACCUAAGGUCACUAAUCUAACAAAACGCUAGGAAUUUAGACCGGAGCAUAAAUGCGACCUUUAUGACAUAUUUUGUAUGUUUAUCACUUUGAAAGUUGCUACAUGCUACGUGUCUUAUUUGUUAAUAUAUCUAUAUAUAUANNNNNNNNNNNNNNNNNNNNNNNNNNNNNNNNNNNNNNNNNNNNNUAUAUAUAUAUAUAUAUAUAUAUAUAUAUAUAUAUAUAUCAUUUUGACUUUGUGUCUUUAAAGGUAAAGGUAAUUUUUCUAUCUGACAACAAAAGAUGAAAGGGAUUUUAGUACAACAAAAAGUGUCAAGAGCUAUUAAUAGAUUGUUUUCUGCAACUGUAACCGAUGAUCGGAAAAAGAAUACGAUGAACUUUUGUAUACAUCUAUUAUCUUACAUUUAUCUGAUUCAAUUAAAAAACAUUAGAAAAAGUUGAAACAACUUUACUUGACAUAGUCUUCACGAUAUUGUGGCGACGUGGGGGAGAAAAAAAGGAAACUAUUCUUACUUCAAAAGUUUCUUCAGUUUCAAAAUUGAUCUUUGAAAAUAAUUGGAUGACAAUCUUGAUGUUUUCAAUAAAUUUGUACAAGAUAUUACAAAUUAUGUUGAUAAGAUUUUCGAUGAGUUAAGCUAUUGUCCUAUUGAAUGUUAUUUGUAAUGUGUAUAAAGAAGUCAAGAGUAGAGUCAAAUAUGGGUGGGAGACCUUUGCACCUGAUGUAGUCAUUGAUUUCCUUAAGAGUACAGAGAGGGAGAUGAAAGAUGAAAGAAAAUAGGAGAGAUUCACCAAAUUAGGGGUAGAUCUUAUUAUAGUGGUGGUAAAUGGAAAAAUGGUGGUGGCAAGAAGAAAGGGUAGAUCUAAAUCACAGAAGGAAAAUGGGAGGAAAUGUUAUGUUUUGGUAAACUAGGAUAUUUCAUAAGUGCCAUUAAGAAAAACUAAGUUGAGAGAUCAAAUGGAAGUGAACCCCAUAAGGCUAAUGUUAAUGUCCCUAGAGAUGAACCUAUUGAGGUUUACUUGCUUUUAAAUUCUUAACCAGUCAAAAUUAACUAUUAGAUGCUUUGAAAACUAUAAUCACUUAAAUUCAAUUGUAAGUAAACUAGAUUACUUGUUUGUUAUUAUGAAAACUUUAAGAUCAACACAUGUCAAGACAUUGUAGGAUAUCAUUUGCAUCUAGCACACACAAGAUAUCUAGAGUAUUAGAAUAUAUUCAUACUGAUUUGUGGAAUCCCAAGAGCAAUCAUACUUUUGGUGGUAAGAAAUAUUUUGUAUCUAUUAUUGAUUAUUUCUUCAAAUGUGUGUGUGAAUUUGUUGAAAGAUAUAUUUGAAACUUUUUGGAAUUUUAAAAAUUGGAAAGUUAAGGUAGAAAACCAGAUAGGUAAAAAAGCAUAAUAUUUGCAUAUUGAUAAUGGUCUCGAGUUUUAUAAUGCUAACUUUGAUAGUUUGUGUAAUGAAUCUGGCAUAACUAGACAUAGGAUUGUACCUUACACUUCUCAGCAAAAUGGGUUGCUAAAAGGAUGAAUCUUACCUUACUUAAUAAAGUUAGAUAUAUGAUGUGUGAGUUCUAGUAUAUCUAAAUCUUUUUGGGCUGAAAUUGUUAUGAUUGCAUACUGUCUAACUAAUCCGCCUCCUUCUACCGUUUUAAAUGGUGAUAGGCCGUAUGAGAAUAUGUAUGGUAAAUGUGCUAAUUAUUCUUUGCUAAGAACCUUUGGUUGUGCUAUUUUCUCUAAUUAGAGUGGUGGAAAACUAGAACCUAGAGCAACGAAACGUGUCUUCUUAACGUACAUUGAGGGAUUUAAGAGAUAUAUAUUGUGAGAUAGAAGCCAGAAGAGUGUGAAAAUAAUCAUAAGUCGUGAUGUCACCUUUAAUGAGUCUGAAAUGCCUUGCAUGGAGAGUGAAGAACAACAAGAAACUGUUUAGGAAAGACUCCCCAGUUGACAUAGAAGUAGAAGGUGAUGAGGAUAUUAUAGAGGACAAACUAUUGACCAAGACCAUUUAGCUAAUUGCCAAUUGGAUAGAGAUACAAAGAUGAGACCACAUAGGGAACCCCAAAGGUUGUCCGAUUAUACCAUAGCUUACACUAGUUAUCAAGAACUAGUUGAUAAGGACUCGAAUAUGUAUGAGAAGGCUAUGGGAAGUGAAAAAUGUAAGGGAUGGUAGACUUCCAUAAGAGAAGAGAUGAGUUAUCUUUCUAAGAAUCAUACUUGGGGUUUAGUUCCUAGAUCUAAGGAUAAAUCCAUAGUUGGAUGUGUAGGUAGAUAUUAGAGAAUCAAAUCAAACUGAAGGCUUGUGUAUUCACAGUUUCCUUAAAUCGAAUUCGCCGCCUCACCAGAGUGCAAGAGGUUUUGAUCGGUGUUCGAUUCCCAGGAUACAAUUGGUUUCCGGUUCACGCUGCAAUACGUUAACCACCUGCGAACUAGCUAUAAAUAUUAGAGAAUCAAAUCAAACUGAAGGCCUGUGUAUUCACAGUUUCCUUAAAUCGAAUUCGCUGCCUCACUAGAGUGCAAGAGGUUUUGAUCGGUGUUCGAUUCCCAGGAUACAAUCGGUUGUCGGUUCACGCUGCACUACGUUAACCACCUGCGAACUAGCUGUGAUAUACUCUAUCUCACAAAGAAAUUAUAAGCACAAGGAAGAACUUGAAAGUGAGAAAAAGAAGAUUGUUGUUUAGAGGAAGAAGCUUGCAUUUCACUUGUGUUUUUCCAACCUAGAGAGACUCCUAUUUAUACCAAUGGAGGAAAAGCUAGCUCAUUAAUCAAGGAGUUAAGCCAUUCAUUGAUAAAGGAGUUAAAAACAUGAAGGGACUUGAGUUACAACAUAUGAAGAGACUUCUAUUCAAUAUUUUUCAUUACUUCUAUUCAAUAUUUUUCAUUCAAUUCUAACAAUCCCCCACAUGAAUGAAAAAUGGAAACUAAGACUCAAGAGGAAAGAGAGAGUAGAACGAAUCAAUCCUGCAUAAGAUAGGUAGCUUUUAGCUUUGAACCUUCCCUUGUGAAACCUAUCGGGAAUUACUAGCAAACCAGUGGAUCUGAUGCCUUGAACUGUUUCGCCAUUUGUGUAAACCAAGACAAUAGAUCUCACACAGGACCAUUCUAGUCAUAGCAUAGUUCUUACUGUUGUGUUCGUUUUGGCCAUGAACAUGUCGCCUGGUUCUGCAAGUGUUUUUUCAAGGAUGUAGCCUUGCCAAUCUUUAUAGAAGCGGCCCCACUUCACACUCACAUAGGUGACCUCUUAACUCAAUUUUUCACAACAACGCUUAAUGGUCAUUAAAAGCAUAGCUUAACCUGCAUCUUCCAAUCACUGUGAGCACCAUAGGAAUGAGCAGAAGGAGAACAUUCUCAAUGAUUUACACAAAUAUACAUGUUUUAGUUGUCCUUUUGAACCAAGAUCCUGGGAUCUCCACUCAGCUAGGUUGGGUUUCCUCCAUGAUACCUUUCAACGUCAUAGGCUGCAAGCUCAUUCCCCUUGAUGCUUUUACAACUAGCUCUCGAGUUAGCCCUUUGGGUAGUGGAUCCGCAAUAUUAUCCUUUGACUUCACGUAGUUCAGAGUGAUAAUACCUUGUGAAAGUAGUUGUCGAAUGUUAUUGUGUCGUCUUCGAAUAUGGCGAGACUUAUCAUUAUACAUAUUACUCUGUGCCCUGCCAAUUGUUGAUUGAUUAUCGCAAUAAACACAAAUUGCAGGCACAGGCUUUGACCAUCUUGGAAUAUCCUCGACAAACUAGCAAAGCCACUCUACUUCUUCAGUUGCUUUGUCCAAAGCGAUGAACUCUGAUUCCAUUGUAGAUCUUGCGAUGCAAGUUUGUUUUGACGAUUUCCAAGAGACAGCUGCACCACCAAGAGUGAAGACAUAUACACUAGUAGACUUGGUAUCUGACAUAUCUGAUAUCCAAUUUGCAUCAGCAUACCCUUCAAUUACUACAGGGUAUCUAGAAUAGUGCAGUCUAAGAUCAUGAGUGUGCCUUAAAUAAUUUAGCACACUAAAAAUGGCUUUCCAGUGGACAGCACCUGGAUUACUCGUGUAGCGAUUCAAUUUGCUAACUGAGUAUGUUAUAUCCGGUCUCAUACAAGUCAUUAAAUACAUUAAACUCCCAAUUAUCCGAGAAUAUUCUAACUGUGAUACACCAUCACCAGUGUUCUUGGAUAAGUGGAGACUCAAAUCCACUAGAGUCCUGGCCACAGUGGUAUCUGACUUGUUGAACUUGUCUAGUAUCUUAUCAAUGUAAUGAGAUUGACAUAACAUAAGUCCAUUUGGUGUUCGAGUAAUUUUAUACUCCCAAAAUGGCAUCCGCAAGACCCAUAUCUUUCAUGUAAAAUUUCGAGUUUAGUGACUUUGAUAAUCUUUUCAGAGCUACCGACAAUGAGCAUGUCGUCGAUGUAUAGACAUAGCAUGACAUAUCCAUCAUUAGUGUCCUUGACAUAUACACACUUGUCGCACUCGUUGAUUCUAAAACCACUAGAAAACAUAGCAUUAUCAAACUUCUCAUGCCAUUGCUUAGGUGCUUGCUUCAAACCAUACAUCGAUUUAACCAGUCUACAAACUUUCCUUUCUUGACCUAGAGUUGUAAACCCCUCUGGUUACUCCAUGUAGAUUUCUUCAUUCAAAUCUCCAUUUAGGAAAGCUAUUUUUACAUCCAUCUGAUGUAUUUUCAAAUUUCGCAAGGCCGUAAUAGCAAUUAUCAUCCGGAUAGAAGUUAUUCUCGACACAAGAGAAUAAGUAUCAAAAUAAUCUAUGCCUUCCUUUUACUUAUAACCUUUGAUUACUAGCCGAGCUUUAUAUUUAUCAAUAGAGCCGCCCGCUUUCAUCUUCUUCUUGAAGAUCCACUUGUAGCCUAAAGGCUUACAGCCCGGUGGAAGAUCUACUAACUCCCAGAUAUGAUUCUGUAGAAUGGAAUCAAUUUUACUUUUGAUGACUUCUUUCCACAAAUCACCAUCUGGAGAAGAUACAGCUUCUUUAUAGCUUUGAGGAUCAUUCUCCAUCAAAUAUGUGAGAAAAUCAGGGCCAAACGUCUUAGAAGUUUUGGUCCUUUUGCUCCGUUUAGGCUCAUCCUCACUUUCUUCAACUGGAUCUUUUCUGUUGCCAGAAGCAGAAGAUUCCAUUGUCCGUUUAAUAGGAGUUAACUUUUUAGGAAACUUACAAGGAAAUAUAUUCUCAAAGAAUUGUGCAUUCCCGACUCCAUAAUCGUAUUCGGAUGAAUAUCAGGUACAUUCGAAUAAUGCACAAGGAACCUAUAUGCACUACUAUUUUGUGCAUAACUAAUGAACACACAAUCAACUGUCUUAGGUCCAAUCUUGACCUUCUUAAGAGGAGGCACCACAACUUUAGCAAGACACCCCCACUUUCAUAAGUAUUUAUAUGAAGGUGUCCGAUUUGUCCAAAGUUCAUACGGAGUCUUAUCCAUAUUCUUUCUUAACACUUUAUUCAAGAUGUAAUUUGCGGAAAGAAUAGCUUCUCCCCACAUAUUCUGUGGUAAUCCAGAACUAAUCAACAUAAUAUUCAUCAUUUCCUUUAAAGUUCUAUUUUUACGCUCAAAUAUUUCGUUCUGCUGAGGUAAAUAAGGUGCAGUAAUUUGGUGAAUUAUUCCAUGUUUAGCACAAAAUUCACCAAAUAAUGAUUCAUAUUCACCACCACAAUCACUCUGUAGCACCUUUAUUUUCUUACUAAGUUGAUUUUCAACUUCAUUCUUAUAAAGAAUAAAUUUAUCGAUAGCUUCUUCUUUGCUUUUAAGCAAGUACACAUAUAAAUAUAUAUCGUACUAUCAUUGACAAAAGUAAUAAAAUACUUUUUACCGCCUCGUGUUUGGACAAAUUUCAAAUCACAUACAUCAUUGUGGACUAGUCCCAAUGGCUCAAUACUUCUUUCAAUACUAUGAAACAAAGACCUAGUAAGCUUAGAUUCAACGCAUGUUUCACAUUUAUGAUUUGAAUCAAUUUGAAAUCUAGGAAAGUAAUUUAGUUUGCUUAGUCUACGUAAAGCAUUGUAAUUUACGUGACCUAAUCUACCACGCCACAGAUUAGGAGACUCAAGCAAGUAAAUAGAAGGAGUUUUCUCAUUACUCAUAACAGUUGGGGUUAUAGCAAUUACAUUCAAUUUAAACAGGACAUCAGUCAUAUAGCCUUUCCCAACAUAAACUCCUAUUUUGGUAAUCACCAGCUUAUCCGCCUCAAAGACCAUGCGGAGCCCAUUCUUGCUUAGAAGAGACCCAGAGACCAGAUUCUUGCGAAUCUCUGGCACGUACAGCACAUUAGUCAGAGUAAGCUCUUUGCCAGAUGUCAUCUUCAGGAUCACAUUGCCUUUACCAAGCACUUCAGAAGUUGCAGAGUUUCUCAUGAACAACUUUUCACCAUUUGUAACUGGUGCAAAAGUAGUGAACAUGCUCCUGUUGGAGCAGACAUGGCAAGUGACCCCAGUGUCCAGCCACCACUCCUUUGGGUUAGACCCCACCAGGUUAACCUCACUAAUCACCGUCGUGAGAUUUAGCUCAGACAUUUCAUCUGAGAGAUGAUCUCUCUCAUUUCCAACCAUAUUAGCUUGAGGACGCUGCUUAUUAUCCCUCCGAGGCUGACGGCAGUUUGUUGAUCGAUGCCCAACUUUGUCACAAUUGAAGCAUUUUCCAUUGAACUGGAACUUAGGUUUCUUUCCUACCCCACCUGCGUGCUUCAACCGAGACCCUUUCGUACCCUUUUUUUAUCUUUUCGAUUUCCAUUACCCUGUUUGGCUUUAAAGGAGUGAACUUUCUUAGUACCAGAAAUUUGACCGUACUCCAAUACAUUAGCCUUCUCAGAGUAAGAAUUCUCUGACUUACGUUCAGCCCAUUUGUUAUCUUCCUUAAUGCGCACUUGAUAAUUAAAUUCUCGAAAGACAUCUCUUUCCUCUUAUGCUGCAAAUAGCUUUUGAAAGCCUUCCACUAAGGAGGUAGCUUGUGAAUAGCAGUAGCCACCUGUAGAGAUUCUAAUAUGGUCAGACCCUCAGCAUGCAUUUCUUGCAAAAGCACUUGAUACUCUUGCACUUGGCUCACCACUGAACGUGAAUCAACCAUUUCGAAGUCUAUACACCCACUGGCUAAGAAUUUCUUAGAUCCGGCAUCCUCGGUCUUGUAUUUCUUUUCUAAGGACUCCCAGAGCUCCUUAGCAGACUUUUUUUACCACAUAUACGUGAUACAUAGAAUUUUGUAGGCCAUCCAAGACAUAGUUGCGAUACAAAAAAUCAGCACUUUUCAAAGCGUCCCAAGCUGCACGCCUAUGCACGUCAGUGUCAUUUUCAGCCACGAUAGGGACAUACUCAGUGAGGAAACGUGCAAGGCCCAACAUUGUGAGAUAGAAUACCAUCUUAUUCUGCCAUGUCUUAAAAUCAGUACCAGCAAACUUAUCGUGUCGAAUUGCAUGAUUCACCGAAAAUGGAGCUGGAAACGAUGGCAAAUGUACCGAAGUCGUAGCCCUAGGCACUGGCAAAGGUAUUGUGCCAAACUGGAUUGUCGAGGCCGCAGCCGAAGGCAAAGUUGGGUUCACUCCAACAUGAGGAAUUCCGCCUCCAAUUAUCUCGUCAAUGGGAGAAAUGUCAGUUGUGGUCUCCAUAGGGUUAACAACAGUCAUUGUAGGAUUUGGUACACCGGUACCAACAGUAUUGCUUCCGUUGUUCAAAUCGUUAUUUCCAUGUGACGCCAUUGAACCGGAACAAGCAACAAAUAAUUUAGAAUAAUUAUAAGUUUGUAAAGUUGUAUAUAAAUUCGAAAUCAAGUUAUCUGUUCAGAAAAUAAAACUGCAGAGUUGAAGAACGGAUUAUUUUGUCAAAUUAUUAAUAACUUAACAAUCAUUUAAAAUGAAUUAGAAAUCAUGCAAAAACCAUGAACUGGAAAAAUUUGACAAAACUAAUGAACAAAAUUUGAUUUACUAAAGUCAAUUCGAUUUAAGCUUGUAGGUAAAUAUUAGAGAAUCAAAUCAAACUGAAGGCCUUUGUAUUCACAGUUUCCUUAAAUCAAAUUCGUUGCCUCACCGGAGUGCAAGAGGUUUGGAUCGGUGUUCGAUUCCCAGGAUACAAUCGGUUGUCAGUUCACGCUGCAGUACGUUAACCGCCUGCGAACUAGUUGUGAUAUACUCUAUCUCAUAAAGAAAUUAUAAGCACAAGGAAGAACUUGAAAGUAAGAAAAAGAAGAUUGCUGCUUAGAGGAAGAAGCUUGCAUUUCAUUUGUAUUUUUCCAACCUAGAGAGAUUUCUAUUUAUACCAAUGGAGGAAAAGCUAGCUCAUUAAUCAAGGAGUUAAGCCAUUUAUUGAUAAAGGAGUUAAAAAAUGAAGGGACUUGAGUUACAACAUAUGAAGAGACUCUAUUCAAUAUUUUUCAUUACUUCUAUUCAAUAUUUUUCAUUUAAUUCUAACAGGAUGCAAAUGGAUUUACAAGAUAAAGAAGGGAACCACUGAGAGUGAGCCCAUGAGAUAUAAGGCUAGGUGAGUAGUCAAAGGGUACGCAUAGAAGGAUGGGGCAAAUUACAAUGAAAUUUUUUCACCUGUUAUUAAGUAUACCAAUAUUAGGGUCAUGCUUACAUUUGUUCCUAACUAUAAUUGGAAACUUGCACAACCUGAUGACAAAAUUUUUUUUUUUUAUUAUUAUUUUUGGCAUGGUGAUCUUGAUGAAAUAGUUUUUAUAAAUCAACCUAUUUUGAAAUUAAAGAUAAACCUAAUCAUGAUUGUUUUUUUUUAAAGAAAUCUCUCAAUAGGUUAAAAUAGUCUGCACAUCAAUGUUAUAAAAGGUUUGAUUCGUUUGCGCCUUCUAUUGGUUUUAAGAUGAAUGAAUUUGACCAUUAUAUUACUAGCACUAAUAAAGAUUGUGCAUUUGUUACUUUAUGUGGAUGACAUGUUAUUAAUUAAACUUAACAUGAAAAUGGUAAACAAGAUUAAGAGGUACUUAAGUAAAGAAAAUGACAUGAAUGACCUAGGAUAUGCUAGGGGGAUCCUUGGUACGGAGAUUGAUAGGGAUAGAUCUAAUUUUUGCUUAUUUGUGUAUCAAACUCCUUAUAUGCUUAAAAUUUUGAAGAAAUUUGGCAUGAUUGACAUGUUUCUGUACCUCUUGGAAAACAUUUUAUUUUUUUAAAAAAACAAUAACCUGGUAAUGAUGAGGAAUAUGAUUUUAUGAAUAGAAUUCCUUACUCAAAUGUCAUUGGCUCCAUUAUGUACCUUAUGAUCUGCACUAGGCUAUAUUUCGCUUUUAUUGUUAGUGUAUUGAGUAGAUACAUGUCUAAUCUUGGGUCCCAAAUAUUGGGAAGUAUUAAAGUGUUUGCUUAGGUACUUGAUGGGUACUUUUGAUAAGCAGUUAGUUUAUAAGUCUAUUGGUGAGGAUGUGAAAAUUAAAGGUUUUACAGAUGCUAACUAUAGUGAAGAUAAAGAUAUUUGGAAGCUGACAUCUUCUUAUGUGUUUUCUUUGUGUAAUUCUUGUAUGAGUUGGAAGUCACAACUCUAAAAUUAUUGCUGCUCUAUCCACUACUAAGUCCAAGUAUAUUGCUGCCACGAAAACUAUUAAAGAAGCUUUUUGUGAUUUAAGGGUUUACUUAAUGAAUUGGGUGUUUUAAGUGAUAAUGUGAUAGUAUACUCUAAUAGUCAAUAUGUCAUCCAACUGGGUAAAAAUACUUUGUUUCACGAAUGUACUAAAUAUAUAGAUGUUAGAUUUUAUUUUAUUAGAGAUGUAAUAUCUCGAGAUUUGAUAAAACUCGAGAAAGUGCAUUUAGAUUAUAAUCCUGCUAAUAUUGGCACUAGGGUGCUCCCUCGAUAAAGUUUAAAAGUUGUCUUACAUUUCUAAACAUCAAUAAACCUAUGUAACAUUUUAAUCUUGUUUGAAAUCACAUUAAGCAACUGCUAAACUAGUUUUUUCUUUUGCAUGUGUAUUUGACUUCAAGGUGGAGGUUUGUUAGGUAUUUGAUAUCAAAUACGAACCCUAGCGAUAAUGAUUAAUUGGGUCGGCUUUAAUUCAUAGGUUUUGUUAAAAGCCCAUUAUUGAAUAAUAUUAAUUACGUUGACCCAAGAUUUCAAUUGUUAGCCCAAAGAAUUGAGAGAGACCAAGAAUCUCACUAUUGGAAAUUAGGGCGAUUAGGGGCUCGACCCUCUUAUUAUUUAGACCAAGCCUUCUUCUUUGUGACACGGCCUCUCCCCCUCUAUCGGCGAUAGACGUCGGCACUCAACGACCUCUGGCACCUUCGCGUGGUGUGAUUCACUGGCUUCUACCAAUUUUGUGGAUGCUCUUUGCUUGCUUUUUAUUGUGUUCCUUAUGGCGAUUCUUCUGUGGUCUCAGAGAUUUCUUGGUUCUAUCGAGUAUGGGGUUGUGAUCUUAGGUUGUUAAAUCUGAGCCCUAUAAUUCCACCAAUUGCUGCAAUCGUGAUUUUGAUAUGAAAGUUCUAUUCUUGCUCAUUUUCAUUGAUUUGAUUAUUGUUAUUCAAUUGAUUUGGAGCUUACUUUUUCGUUGUUUCAAUUGAAGGUAGUUUUAUUCCCCACAGUUACAAUGGACAAAAAAUGAGAGAAUGAAUUCUAAUAAAGGAAUACCGUAUGGGCUUCUAUUAUAUUAAUUUACACAACUACUCAAUUCAAGGCAUAAAGUCUACUAAUUAGUCAAAUAAUUCCUAUAAAUUCUCACUGGAAGAAGUUCAAGGGCUUUGGCUACCAUCAGGGAUGCAACCUUUUUAUUUUUAUCAAUUAUUUUAAUAAUAAUUUUAUUUUUAUUUAUUUAUUUAUUUAUUUAUUUAUUUAUUAUUAUUAUUUUUUUUUUUUUUUGGUAUACUAAACGAUAUUCUAAAUUUUUUAGCCAUAUUUUCAUUGACGUGAAGGGGUUGAUUGAGAAAUUAGGAAAUUGAUGAAGAAAUUUUCUUCGUUAUAGAUAGGAAGAAGAUUGGAACUUAAGUUGAAGAUUGUACGAGGAAAUAACAAGUGAAAUAUCAGAGCAUGUUCAAUGCAAAGAAUGGAUUAUUAUUUAGGUAGCAUGUAAGUUGAAAGAUUUUCAUAGUAUGUGCAAUGAUAUAUAAUGAAUAGGCACUCAAGUCAAAAUUUGUUCUCCAUCGAGUUCUAUUUAUAACUCUUUAUUUUUGUUUAGGUUUCCUUUAUUUUUCUAAAAUAAAAAUCACAUCUAAAUCUAAUCCUAUUGUGUCACUCAAUGCAACAAAGCUUCUCAAUUUAGAUGGAAUUCUUAACUAUGUGCGAUUCUUUCUAGUUGAAGCAGAAGAAAUUAAAAGACAUUAUGAAGAAGUUCUUCUAGAUCUUGAUGCUCUAAUAAAUGGAGUGAGUAAGAAGAAUUUAAGUUUCCUAUUUCUUUCUCCUGUUUCUUCUGUGAGCUAGCAGUUUGCAUGAUGUAUUCGAGAUGCUCUUAGUAGGGAAGAAAUGAAGGACAAUUUAGGAAUUCGAUUGGACCAAAGAUGCAAAAAUUUACGUGGAUUAUUGUGCAUAGAAAAUGAAGUCACAUUCAGCUUUUCUCUCAAUUAUUGUCCUCCCAUUCCGUUUGAUUGUAAAAAUGAAAUUUGGAUAAAAUGAAAAUGAAUUUCAAAGAAUUAAAUUGCCUAAAAAUUAUUUUACUGAAAAUUGUCAAUUAUUGUGUUUGAUUGGUAUAAUUUUUCACAUGAAAAAUGUUGAAAUAAGUAUUUUUUGGUAUUCAUUUGACUUUAUUUUAUAUGAAAAUUGUCAAUUAAAAGGAUAGAAUUUACUGGUAUUGGGUAUGAAAUUUGUUUCUAUUGCCAAAAAAAUUCAAAAAAAUAAUAUAUCUUUUAGUGUUCAUUUGACUUUAUUUUACAUGAAAAUUGUCAAUUAAAAGAAAAUAUUUUUUUUACAACUAGGGAUAGAAUUUGUUUUCAUUGUAAAACAAAAAAAAUGGCCAACAGCUAGUGAGAAUUCAUUUUCAUCAAUUUGGUUGAAAAUGACUUAGGUGGCAUGACAAUGGGAAAAUGAAUUCCCCAGGCAAAAAAUUAUCAAACAUCCAUUUUUGAUUUAGAGUGAAAAUCAAAUUCCAUUUUCUAUGAAAUUCAUGCUUAUGAGACAUGGCCUAAUAGAAAAUGGACCAAAUUAGGAAUUUGAUUGGACCAAAAAUGCAAAAAAUUUACGUGGAUUAUUGUGCAUAGAAAAUGAAGUCUCCUUCAGCCUUUCCCUCAAUUAUUGUCCCCCCUGUAAUAAUAUAAUAGUUCAAGGACAACUUAGGAAUUCGAUUGGACCAAAGAUGCAAAAAAUUUACGUGGAUUAUUGUGCAUAGAAAAUGAAGUCUCCUUCAGCCGCUCUCCCAAUUAUUGUCCCCGGAUCUAUUUGAUUGUAAAGAUGGAAUUUGAGUUAAAAAAAAUGAAUUUCAAGAAAUUGAAUUGUCUAGAAAUUAUUUUACUGAAAAUUGUCAAUUAUUGUGUUUGAUUGUUAUAAUUUUUCACGUGAAAAAUAUUGAAAUAAAAGUAUUUUUUGGUAUUCGUUUAGCUUUAUUUUAUAUGAAAAUUGUCAAUUAAAAGGACAGAAUUUACUGGUAUUGGGGAUGAAAUUUGUUUCUAUUGCCAAAAAAAUAAAAAAAAAUCAAGAAAAACAUCUAUUUUUUGGUGUUCGUUUGACUUUAUUUUACAUGAAAAUUGUAAAUUAAAAGAAAAAAAAAAAAAAUAUUAUUUAUUUAUUUAUUUAUUUUUUGCAAUUAGGGAUAGAUAGGGAUGUCAAAACGGGUCGAGCGGCUCGUCGGCUCAGCAGCUCGGCUCAUCAAACCUCGGCACGUGGGCGGCUUGGGCUCGUCAUUUGGCUCAAUUCGUCAAAAAAUAUUAAUUUUUUUAAAAAAUUGUUCAAAAUAUGCAAAUUUACCCCAAAAAUUUUUUUUUUUAAAUUAAAAAAAUUACGAGCUCACGAGCCGCUCGUGAGCUCGGCUCGGCUCGACCCGCGAGCUCGUGGCUCAUGAGCUCGUGAGCCGAGCUGAGCUAGCUCCCGAGCAACGAGCUGAGCCGAGCCCGAGCUCGGCUCGGGUUCGGCUCUCUUCCAUGAGCCACGAGCCCGAACUCGAGCCGAGCUUGUGGGUUAAAGGAUCGAGCCAGGUCGACUUGACCCAUUGCCAUCACUAUGGAUAUAAUUUAUUUUCAUUGUAUAAAAAAUAAAAAUAAAUGGCCAAUAGCUAGUGAGCAUUCAUUUUCAUCAAUUUGGUUGAAAAUGACUUAUGUGACAUGAAAGUGGGAAAAUGAAUUCUUUAAGAAAAAACUUAUCAAAUAUCCAUUUUUGAUUUAGAGUGGGAAUCAAAUUCCAUUUUCUAUGAAAUUCAUGCUUAUAAAACAUGGCCUAAUAGUUCUAGGACAAAUUAGGAAUUCGAUUGGACCACAGAUGCAAAAAUUACGUGGAUUAUUGUGCAUGGAAAAUGAAGUCUCCUUCAGGCUUCAGCCUUUUUCUCAAUUAUUGUCCCCCUGCCAUAAUAGUUUGGGGAAUUUACACAAAUGUCACUAAAAUUGAAAAUGCAAAAAAAAUUUGGACAUUCACCAAUUUCUUUCAAGAAUGUCAAUUUUUCCCUACAAAAUGUUCACUUUAUCCUUUAACACCUUUUUGGAGCAAUAAAUGCUUGAUUUGAAUGCAAUUAAUGUUAUGAUGUGAUUAAUUUAUUUUUGCUUUAAAUUUAAUAUUGAAGAUAUGAUAUUAUAUUGUAUAAUAAGAUUUUUUUGAUUAAAAAGGGGGUGAAAUCUUUACAAAACACACACACACACACACACACGAAUUGAAAGAGCUUCUUCUUCUUCAUCAUCUCCACUCCAUCAUCAACAAGGAAACAAGGAAAGUCAUUGACAAAUUUGAAAGGUAAGGUAGUAGAAAAAAGUUCAUCUCAUGUCAUAGUUGACUACUUUAAUUUUUCAAUACAAUAUGAUCAUAUUUAAAUGAACCCUUUCAAUCUCUUAUUCAUUGAUGUAGUAAAUUUUUGGUAUAUUUUAGAAAGAAAAAUUAUACCAACAUUAUAUAGAAAAUGUGAAGUAUUCCAUAUAUAAUUAAACAUUUAAUGAACAUUAAGUGAUAUCUUGUUCAUUUCUAAAAAGAUACAGUGAUAUUGUAGUUCAGAAUUUAUUAUGGCCUUUACCGUUUUCAAUAAAUUCGUCAAACAGUGAAGCACAUGGAAUUUAUCUUUCUCGAAAGUUAUGGCAGUAGAACUGUCGAGUGGUAUCUUGGAAACUGUCGGGUUAGACAUUUUAACUGUCGAGCUCGACAUUUAAUGACUGUCGGGAUAGAAAAUGUAAUUGUCGAUUUCGACAGCUGAAAACUGAUCAUCUUUUAUAUCUUUGGUAGUACAUGGAUGUAAGUGUUUUCGUGUGCCAAUUUGAUGUUAUGAAAUGUCGAUAUAUGAAUCUGCAGAAUUCUCACUUUUGCAAUCCUAACAUUUCAUGUAUGAGUCACGAUUUUAGAUUCAUCGUGUCGCAUGGAGGAAACUUCGUUCACUCAGAUGAUGAAUGGAAGUGGAGAGGGGACAAAACCACUUCCAUUUUAGUGUCGAGAAGUAUUACCGUAGCAGAACUUCUGUUACGAUUGAAGGAGAAACUUGGUAUCGUUGAAUCCCGCAAUGCAAUCGAAUUGAAAUUCAAAGUCCCGAACUUGAAUCUACCUCCGGCAGAGAUACGCGACGAUGAGGAUCUACAGUGGUACAUAUCUGUUCAUAAGGAAACUGCACUCUGCAUCACAUAUUUGGUAUCCGAGCUCCCAAUUGUUGGUAUGGCAACAGAUGCAAACUGUGAAGGGAGCUUGUUCGGCCCAACGGAAUGUCCACCGAAUGUACAACAUGACGAGAUGAAUCAUCACCACAGUGUGUCGCAAACCGAACGACCCGAACCUCCAAUUGAGAGUAUAGAGGCUGCAGCAUCCGCCGAACACUUAGAGAACCCAUUACAUGGUGCAGAUCGUGCUUUUAUUGCUGAAAUAGACGAGACAAUGUCAUCAAAUUCCAGACGUUCGUGCAGAGAUGAGUGGAUUACAGCUGCAAAUACAUCAGUUCUCGCCGAGAAGCAAAUAUUUUUUACCAAGAAACAGUUGUACUCGAAGCUUCAUGUACUUGCUUUGCAAGAGAAGUUCCAAUUCCGGGUAAGCAGGUUAAGCUUGAAAAUGUUAACAGUUGUCUGUGUGGAUGAUAAUUGCAAGUGGAUGCUACGUGCUUCUACUGUCAAGCAGUCUGCAAUCUUCAUGAUCCGUAAGUUCGUUGCAGUUCACACAUGUUCCCUUGAUUUUCGUCGUAACGCACAUCGGCAUGCCACUAGUGCUGUAAUUGCGGAGCACAUUUUGGGAAAAUUGGAUACUCCAUACCGAUCAUAUCCGCCUACUCAUAUUGCACGUGAUAUGGAACGUGAGUUUGGUGUGAAAAUCAGUUAUAGCAAAGCACGUAGGGGGAAGCUCCAUGCCUUAAAUAUGCUACAUGGUACACCAAGGGACAGUUUUCAGAAAUUAUCUUCGUACUGUCACGUCGUAGGAGAAAGUAGCCCGGGGACCGUUACCCACAUCGAAGUUGAUUGUUGUAAUAGGUUUCGUUACUUCUUUGUAGCUUUUGGUGCAAGCAUUCGUGGAUACAUGCAGUACUUGAGACCCGUUAUUUGUGUGGACGGCAGUCACUGAAAGGUCCAUAUAAAGGUACACUCCUAGUGGCAACUGCCCAAGAUGGUAACAAACAGAUUUAUCCGUUGGCAUGGGGGAUCGUGGAUGCUGAAACCAAUAAAUCGUGGAAGUGGUUUUUGUCGAACUUGAAAGACCUUAUAGGGGAUUCCGAAGAACUCGUGUUCGUUUCAGACAGGAAAAAGAGUAUUCAGAAAGCUAUUUCUCAGUUGUUUCCUUCGUCUCGGCAUGGUUGUUGUAUAUGGCAUAUGGAAAAGAAACUAAUACAGCGGUAUAACAACGCAAGCCUAUUAUUUCUAUUCAAACGAGCUGCUACAACUUUUCGGGUCGAGGACUUCGAACGACUCAUGGGACAGAUUCGUAGAGUGAGCGAAAGAGCGCACGGGUACUUAGAGCGAGCGGGAUAUUCAUUUUGGUCCAGAGCACUAUUUCUUGGACACCGUUACAAUAUUAUGACAAACAACAAUGCAGAGUCGUUGAACUCGAUGUUGAGAGAUGUCCGGUCGUUACCGAUAACCUGCUUGGUUAAACACAUUCGGAGUAUUAUGCAAAAGUGGUUUUACGAACGUCGAGCAAAUGCGGAAGAAUGCAGUACCUUAUUGACACCAAGAAUGGAGAACGAGCUACGGACGACUUUCGAAAAUGGAACUAGGCUUCAAGCCCAUGCCCUGACAAACAACUUGACGCAGGUUGGAAAAUCCAACGACACGGACAUAGUUGACUUGUCCGAAGAAACCUGCACAUGUCGUGAGUUCCAACUAAACCGUAUGCCAUGUGUUCAUGCAAGUCGUGCUGCUUGCUUUAGAGGGAAGACGUUGUACGAGCUUUGCUCCCGUUAUUAUUUAUUGGACUACUGGAAGGGUGCCUACAGCGAAACUAUAUAUCAUGUUCCGAGGGAAGUGGAUUGGGUUGUUCCGAGCUUAAUUACAUGUACUCCUAUUUUCCCACCACUCGUACGUCGUCCUCCAGGUAGACCACCAACCCGCCGUAAGCGUUCUAGGUAUGAGUAUGCAUGGUCUACCAGAAAAUGUACCCGUUGUGGUAGAGUCGGUCAUAAUCGGACCACGUGUUCAAACCCCCGUGUAUCACAUGCUCCUUCAAGAUUUGCAGGUUUAUAGACGUUGUAUGUUAAUUAUUCCGUACUACAUCGAACAUUAUGAAGUUACGAUUUACAGUUUGUGAUCAUUAAUGUUCUUGCAUGUUGCGCAUCCUGUUGUGCACAUAAAGAUUUCACUGUCUGUCCAGCACGUAGUAAACAUCCCGCCCAGUUCAAAUAUUGGCCCCGAUAGAUGUGUUACUUAUUCUCGACAGUUGACGAAACCUUGCACUGCACUCACGGUCUGCGUCACACAUACAUGUUGUGACCUCUAAACACGAGAACGAAAAAUGUUCGAUACUGUACAUAUAUAUUUUUUCCCAUUUCGAAACGCAAUCUUCUAUCCCCUACAGAUUUACUAUCAUUAGCAUCAUCUUAAAUCGAAAUUAAAGGUAGUGCAAAACGCAAUCUUGAAUCCCGAAGAAAUGUACAAUCAUUUGCAUCAUCGUAAAUCAUGGAUUAAAGUUAGUCCAAGAUACACACCUUUCACAAUAGCCGUUUUACAUACUGCAAAAUACAUAACCAUUUUUGUACAUUUUAUUGAUACUGCCCGACAGUUGACAUGUCGUCCCCGACAGAUAGUCUCAGUAAUUCUCGACAGUUCGACCGAAAAACGCAAAAAACAUGCCACGAAUUGCAUGUUAGAGACAUGUUCACAUGGACUUUUUGGUAUUGUCUUAACUAAGGUCAUCCCUACAAAAUACCUUACUAUACAGUACUUAUUCACUACAUUCCAUGGGUCUCACAUUAGUCGUCGUCGACAACUGAACCAUGGUCCCCGCUAUCCUCACCUGACUCGUCGAAAGAGAUGAUAAUGACCUCAUUUGGGGGAUCGUACGCCAUCCAUUCGUCGUCAUCGUCGGAAUCCCCCUCGUAUCCGGCAUCCAGCUCGAACUCCUCAUUGAGGACUCCAUUCGGUGAUUGCGAAAUAUAAAUUGGAAAAAGCGGAGAUGAACCAAGAACUGGCAGUGGCUCGUUCAUGUUCAACGGUUCGUUGCUUCCUGUGGAAGAACUCAUUACGUGAACGUAUAGUAGUACUAAAGGAAUGAUAAGUGUCUGUGAGAAGGUGAAUGGGUGACAAUGGUCUUGAAGGAACUUGUUUGUAAGUGAGAAUGAAGUCCCACACUUUUUAUAAGCAAAUUGAAGGGGGAAACAAUUAUGGUCUCCAUCUACCCAACAACCAAGUCAAUUCUCCUAGUAAAUUUGAAAUGCAAUUGGUGUGAUGGUUGAAUAAAUGAAGUAUACCUUUAUCCCCCAUUUCCCCAUACUUAGUACAAUGUUAAACACUCUUUAAUCAUGUGCCCAAAUAAGGAAAAGUGUGCAUAUCUGCAACAAAAACCUGCUCAAUCUAAUUGCUACUUUUAAGUUGCCAUGGUUGUAAUGGUAUAGUUCCUCACACGUACAGGUCAUCAUCGCAAGACACAUGGAAGACGAACAACGAAAUAAUUAUUUUUACUAAUUUCAUUGAUUUAUGAAUUACUUUUUACCGUGGUUCUCAUGCUCUUGACAGUUGUAACGACUCAUCUUCUCGUUGCAUCUCAUGUAUGUGCCUUAAUGCCUUAGUUUGAGAAUUUAUCAUAAUAAUAUCGUCCCCGAUUAAAGCUAUAGUGAAAACUAGAUACCACUACAUAAAUUUAUGAAAUAUAACAUUCCCUAUGUAAUGUAACCAACACGAGUGUAAGAAGCGUAACACAAAUUAGAAAAUCUUAAAGACUCGAAGUAUAUUACUACAUCUAUAAUAAGAUUGGAUCGAAUAUCAACAAUAUCAAGAAAACAGUAGUUACAAAGCAUUUCGGGAAAUUGGCAUGUUGCAUACGCAUGUUCCCCUCCUCCAAGAGAAAAUAAGCGCACACAAUAUGUCCAAAAAAAACAUAUACCGAACAACAAAACGAACCUGAUUGAUAGAAUCGACAAAGGUAAAAUACCAGACACAAUUCAUAAACACUACAACUAGCGAUCAGCCAAACAAAAUAAAAUAUGAGGAAUCUGUCCACGUAUCACCAUGGUACGCAAGAGUAAUGAAAAUGUAAUGUAAAACGAAUUCAAACAAAAGUUAUUUAUCCAACAUGUUAACAUCCGUCACCACCUUCACGAAAUCGCUGACAGGGUAUUACCAACUACAACACCACCGUCGUGCUGUCCCCACAGUUCACAUCCCUUUUACUUCUUCGUUCGCUUCGCCGCCCUUGUAUAUGGAGUCUUGGCCGCACGAGCUGGACGUCGCACCCGUGCCUAGCGCCGACUCGUCGUAUGAACUCCGUGUCCUGGUUCGGCUACACUGGCGGGAACAGGGACUUCAGCGAGAUCGCCUACGAGAAUUUAAAAGGAGGGGGGAGUUAGUGACCAUAAAUUCCCUUCACGUAGCAUACGUAACAUACAAUAAGUGAUGCAGAGAAUGAACUUACCAUCACCAUCCGUAACAUCGCAACCCUGUAAGUCGGCAUCGUUGCUCGGGCCCGUAUGUGAGGGCUCCAUGGCUCCUCCAUCUGACAUUACAACACAUUUGUAACUGCAUAUGUGUUGGACGUUUGCAGUUGGAAGAUAAUGGAAGCGUACAGGAAGAAAGAAAAUGAGAAAAAUAAUUCCCAUGUUACCGUUCAAAUCCGGGACGGCAAAUAUCGGCUCCAUCUGUCCUCCACCUAAUUGGAGACCACAAUCACACCACAGGAAUAUGUUAUUGCAUUUUCAUGAAGUCAGAACGGAAGUAGAUGACAUCGAAUAUAGUAGGGAAAAAUAGUAGCACAUGACAACGUACCUAUCUGUUCGUCGGUUGCUACGGGCAGUGGGUCGUGUACGUUGUCCGGUCGAGCCGCGAUGUCUUCUCCAUCUGUUGAUGAGAACAUGAAAACUGUGUGAAUACAUUAGGUUUCCCAACUUCCACAACAUACAAAGUCCGUCAAAUAACAAGUUUCAAUGUGCUCAUAAAUAACCCACGUACCUUGUACAUGUGCAGUUCCUGUAUCUGCUCGCAUGUCUUGCUCGUCUGGGGAAUGCUCCAUUUCUCCUCCACGUAUUUCUAACUCGCAAUCGUCGUAUGGAAAAAAUGUUAGCUACAGGUGCAUGUGCUACUGUCAAACAUGGGUGAAAAUUAUAAACCAAACGGUUUAUGUAUUGAACAUUCAUAUCUUGCGGAAUGCUACCUGAAACGCCACCCUCGGUAUCGGCGGGCAUCGCGGCUGGAACGGGGGUCGGAGCAGGUGGGGCCACGAGGGUUGCAAAGAAAGCUCGGAGUUUUUUACAUUCGAAUGUCACGUGCUGUUCGAUUUCAAGCUUGACGGUGCGGAGUCGCAUUUCAAAGAGAAUUCUUUGGUCGAACAACAUCUCUUCCACCUCCUCUUUGGUGACGCCUGAUCCGGAUGUGCCAACUGGCCGUGUCUCCAUCGUCGGCCCUCGCACUGGAGAAGAUACGUCGGUCGCUGGAGGUGUGGAAGACGCACCGGUCUGCCCUCUACAAGUAUCCGCACCGACGCUGGAUCGCUCACUGGCGCCCUCGCCACUCUCCUCGGCAUCGGCACCUUCAUCUCCAGACAUGUCAUCCUCACCACCUCCUCUGCUCGAGACUCCGUCAUCGGAUUCCUGCCUCACCAACUGGCCCCCACUUCCACUACCUCCGUGUGAUGCAUUAAACUGCGGCCCCACAACGUUCCUGGCAAUCUUAUCCAGCACAGGCACCGGAGGAUCAUCGUACGGCACGAGAGUGGAGAAAUACUGCUGUUCCGCCUCAGCGUCGGUGGGACGAAGUGUGGCAUACACAUGCAACUGCAAUGUACGGUUAUACAUUAGAAACGAAAAGAUUCAGGAAUGACACGAAACGUGAAUAACAAAAGUAACACGUGGUAUCCAUACCCACACGUUCUUGAAGAAUGCAUCGUACGUACGAUGCUGUGGUUGUUUUCGUGCGGACCACCUAAGCAAUCGUGGCAUUUGUUCCCCAACUCUCUGGCCAAAACGCUUCCCAAUCUCGGGAACUGCCUCGUACGCCCAAACAUGUUCCAUCAAGACAAACAGAAAAAAUAACUGAGAUGGUACGCACGAUGCUACAUCAUGGCAAACAAAUAAAGCAUGAUAUGCUAGUAUUUAAAACAUUGUGUACCUGCAUGGCAAUGGGAAAUCCAUGAAUAGUGUACGUAACCUCCUUCUCUUGCCUCCUCUUCGCCUUAAGAAAUUUCUUUGCCCAGAAACCCCGAAAUCCGUGCAGCAAACGCCGAUAGCCGACUCUACCCCAAGUGUAGGCAAAAAAGAUAUCUAGGUCGUCAACAAUAGAUAGUGUACGCAAAUCAAUUCCGACGUUAUUAUCAGGGGCAUUGAAAACUCCUUCGACUAUUAGCACGAGCCCUGGCUUGUAGCGGUCGGCUCGGGCCGUCGAAUGUCGGCCAAUAGUAGUUUGGAGUUGUGCUAACGAUAUUUCUCCAUGGAUUUGAAGUAUCUCUCCUUCAGCCUUCUCCUCUCCAGCACUCGAUCGAACUCAUCACCCUCCGGGAAUACACCGCAUCUUAACCCCGUCACAAGGGUGUAUUCCUGUAGACCGAAUCUCAUCAUGUUGCCUUGCACAUUGAACUAGAGCUCGUUAACCUUGUCAGUGCAAAUGGUUCUGAACACGAGCUGCUGGAUGAGCUGGGCAGAGAAUUGAAUCUCUGCAACCUCGGCUAGAUACCCAAAUGGGGAGUUUCGAAACUCGUCACGCUGUCGGUCAUCGAAAACGUCCAUCACUGUCUUCACAUACUUCAAGUUGCUCCUCUGUGAAAUGUGGGCCCGCAACCUUGCCUCCUCUAGAAAACAAUAAUCAAACUCCAUCAGUCCUGUGUCCUGCAAGAUGCAUUCAUAAAACUCACUCGGGUUACUGGAUAAACUUAAAGAUAUUGUAUCAUAAGUAGCAGUUUAAUGAAACACACUAAGGCAUGGACACACUCAACUGUCGAGAAAAACUGACUACAACCGUCGGUACCGACAGAUGAUCUGUCGAGAUCUGCCUAUACCGACAGUUGAUGUCCAAACAUGCAAGAAGGCUGGCCUAACUGUCGAGAAAACUUGAGCUCUACUGUCGGGAACGACAGUUCAGUGGGAGGCAUUGAACUUGUUAUUGUUGAGAUAAAAAUUACGUAACUUAAUCACUACUACCACAUAAUAUUAAAGCAAAUAUUUGAAUGGAUUGGGGCCCCAAUAAUGCAUGUAAACAAAUGAUUGACAGUCCAGUGGGAGGCAUUGAACUUGUUAUUGCUGAGAUAAAAAUGACGUAACUUAAUCACUAUUACCACAUAAUAUUAAAGCAAAUAUUUGAAUGGAUUGAGGCCCCAAUAAUGCAUGUAAACAAAUGAUUGAAAAUGAUUGAUGUAUUAUACAAGCUUUAGCAUUCAGUGAUUGGAAUAUAAAUAAUGGAAACGUGAUAUUGAUAAGCAGAAUAGUUAACAAACAUUAGACCUUAUUACAAUGUGCCUAAUGCCCAGCAACACACCUAAAACUCUACCGUUAUAUAACGGUAUCCUAUGGCAUUAUAUUACAGUGUUGUCUAAGUCUAAGGAAAUAUAAAAUUGGAAUAAACUGUGAACAGAGAUCUUUGAGAUCCAUGUUCACAGUCACAGCUUACCAGAAAGAAGAGGGAAAAAAGAAAAAGAUAACAGAAGUAGGUCAGACAAAUGAUGAGAAAGAUAAACUAAAUAAGUAUUCCCAACUCCACUGCUCUUCACAGUUCAAUAUAAAAGACUACAAAUGCCUCUUACCCUAAAAUUUAUUAACUGGGUGGGGCGUGGGAAGCAUGUUAAAAGUCCCGGUUACAUGGGAGUUUUUGUCACAAUGCUUCUUCGAUUUUCAGAUUAUGAAAUUCCAACCUGCAUAUGGCAGCAAGAUGCAAUUCAAAUCGACCUGCAAUCCCCAAUGGUGGUAAUCAUACGUCUGAAAUAAUCCUGAACAAAGUUUUUUAAUCCACAGCUUCCAUUUUCAUUUCGUAUGGUGUGACAAUUAUACUCCGCCAAAAUCAACACAUUGAUAUGUCUAUAUGAAGUACACAUGUCAUCGUACGCUCAAUAAGAAUCAUACUGACUAUAACUAGAUCGUUAGAUUAGGAUUUUAAAGCAAUUACACGGAGUAGACCACAAUCUAAAGAAAAAAGAAACUGAAACGGAGGUCAAUACUUUGAUUGCGUGUUGAAUCUUUCCACCAGAAGGUGAUAUGAUAAAACGAAUGUGUCAACCAGAAGAAGAAUCCACAUUAGAUGGUAAUAUUACAGACAACUACACAUCUCAAUGAAAUUCCAUGUAUCUGACAUAGUUUCUAAUAGAAACAACUCCACCCUACUGAGACGAAAUUGUAACUCCACAUGACAAUAUAUUUAUUUUCUCCACUUAUCUACAUCUCCCAUUCAUGUGAUAUUGCGCCCCCAAGGGAUCUACUUUGGUCACCACAAUCGAGACAAACAUUCAAAUGAGCCUUGCUAUCAUAUGGUAUCCAAAAUGGAGGAAUAUUAUGUAGGACUACUUCGGGAUCUAUCAACUACAAUUUUAAAUUUUUACUUCUAAUAUGGAAGCAUAAAAUGAGGAACUUCACGGUUCAUUAAUUUUAUGGCUGAGAUGACUUGGAAAAUGUGGGUUUUCAGAUACACAGCUGAAGGUUUGGAGCUUCAGGAGGAAAUGGCUAAAAAAAAAAAUGGUUCAACAGGCUGUUCUAGGUGUUGUGUUAAACAAUACCCUAGAAGAUAACCAUUCAGUUAGUGAGGUUUCACGGUGUCUAAGGGAUUAGGAAAAAUCCGGGCAUCUCAAAAAUAGUUGGGUUGAAAACACAUGACACGAUCCACAUGGAAUCAAAAGCUCAGAAAUGUUUAAGUACACUAAACAACUAAAUUGAAGAAUGGCACGAGUAAUUCUUAGAGUUCGACCCCUACCAUCCAACUAGGACGGACUUUGAGCCAUACACAAGUGGAGGAAAACACAAAAAUAAGAAAUACCAAGCACAAGCUUCUCUGACAUUCCAAAAACUUCACCAAUUCACACACUUUUUAGGACAACAGUAUUAUCAUGAACUGUGAAAUAUCUAGAAAGUACACCAUUGCUGAGCUUAAGAAGACAGUAACAACUAUAUCAUGAUAAAGACUACGAACGGUACAAAAUUUGCUAGGAAAACAGCAAGAAAUUGUACAGAUAAAAUACUUGUAUGCAUAACAUUACAAGUCAAAAGGCAUCUUGCAAGAGGAGGCCGCCAGCAAUUGAAUUCAGAUUCAAUGAUAAUUUUCACUAACGAAAAUAAAAAAAAAAAAUUACUUCUUCAAAGGAAAUAAAAUGUGCAUUUCAAAAAGCAAUCUGCACCUUCUACUUGUUCAACAAUUGCAUAAUGAAAGAAAUAUGGCUGCAUCCUACUAUUGCCCAACAAAGAGGAACAAAACUUGAAAUUACAAUGGGAAGUCAGAAGAUGAGUGGAUUUACCUUCGCCUUUGUUCGGUUUCUCUGGCAGUCGCAAGGGAGAAGACGACCUCGACGUUGUGGUCAGCUUCGGGCGAUUCGAGUGACAAUGGGAGUGAUUUUGACUCAGCUUCGGGCGAUUCGACGGCCACUGGGAGUGAUUUCGACGUUGACGAUCGUCGUCCAAGGCUGUGACUGUGUCGGCGACUGCAGAGAGAGGGCAGAGAGAGGGUAGGCGAUUGCAGAGAGUUUCGACGUUGUUUUGGGUGAGAGGCGACGUUUGGCUUUCUUCCUUCAUCUCGCUUUUUUUUUCUUUAUUUUUCUUCUCCAAACACUGCCUAGUCAAAUCUACAAUUAAUGCAAAACCUGUAAGGUAUUACAUUUAUGCAGAGGGGUAAAUUAGUCCAAAACUUUCAUAAUUUGCCAUAUUUGUAAUGUCAGAAAAAGGAUGACAUUUGUGUAAGUAAAAAUCAAUAUUUUGACAUGCGGUGUAAUUUCCACUAAUAGUUUCAGCCUUUCUCUCAAUUAUUGUUCCCCUACAAUAAUAGUUCAAGGACAACUCAUGAAUUCGAUUGGCCCACAGAUGCAAAAAAUUACGUGAAUUAUUGUGCGUAGAAAAUGAAGUUUCCUUCAGCAUUUCUCUCAAUUAUUGUCCCCCUACAAUAAAGUUCCGUUUAAUUGCAAAGAUAGAAUAUUGGUGAAAAGAAAACGAAUUUCAAUGAAUUGAAUUGCUUGGAAAUUGUUAUUUAUUAUGUUUGAUUAGUAUAAUUUUUCACGUGAAAAAUAUUGAAGUAAAAGUAUUUUUUUUUGUAUUCGUUUGACUUUGUUUUACAUGAAAAUUGUCAAUUAAAGUAAUAGAAUUUACUAGUAAUGGGGGUGAAAUUUAUUUCCAUUGCCAAAAAAUUCAAGAAAAUCAUCUAUCUUUUGGUAUUCGUUUAACUUUAUUUUACAUAAAAAUUGUCCAUUAAUUUUUUUUACAAUUAUGGACAACAAUCGUACUGAUAACGUAUUAUAAAAGUAAAAAAAAAAAUAAAAGAAGAAAAAUUGACUCAAAACUCAAGUACAUAUUUUAUUGAGAAUAAAGACCCGUAUUUAUAGGAUUCAAAAUGAGAGUGAUGUGAUCCAUGGCACGAAGGCAAGUCCAAAGAAGGAUCCAUUGAUGUUGAAGAAAGGCCUAUGACUAGGUCAUAAAUGAAGAGGGUUAAACAAUGUGACUAUUUGCUCAAGACUCGUGUUGGACUCAGGCGAAGACACGAGGUGCAUCAACUUGGUUCGAGCAACGGACGGAGGACCUGAAAAAUUCAACUAUACGAUCACAUAGUUUAAAUAGGCAUAUGUUUGCAUGCUUCAUUAUUGAGACCAUUGUGUAGGCUGAGAGAUGUUUUAUGCGAUCACAUCACUUAGCACUAAACGAUCACAUAGAGUAGUCUAGACGCAAAAUUUUCCAAAAGUUGUGAAAUCUCCUAACUUAGUUAAAACACCAUACAUUUUGUAUCUUUUGUAAUCUUUCGAAUUUUAGUUUGUUUUAACUAGGUUUACAUGAGUGCUUUAUAUAUAAAACUCAUUAUUUUCAUUGUAGAACAAUUUUUAAACAAACAAUUUGAUUUAUUUCUUAUGGCGUUCAAACAAUUCAAGUGAGAUUCUUGAACAUUGUACUCACCGGGUAAAUGUAUUUUCAGCAAUUGUGUUGAUUCUUUAGUUCAAUAUUUUCGGAUCAAACUUUAAAUAUUGAUUUUUAGCUUUAUUGGGUUUGAAUCAAUCUAGUGUUCGUAGCUACUAUUGCUACGUGAGUUCGUAUCAAAGAGUUACUAUUGAAAUGAAAUAAACUUUUUAAACUAGAUAAGAUUUAUCUAUGCAUGAUGAUAAGACUACAUAAUCAACGAUGUCUAUCUUAUAGUUUUACAGCAAAAUCUUGUACGUUGAAGGGUCUCAAUCUUUAAUUCAUCUUAUUGUUUAAAACGUGUACUAUUUGAAAAGAAGAUAAAUGUCACAUUUUUACAUGUUGGCAUUUUAAAACUUUAGUUGAAAAAUAAAUUUAUUAAUUAAAUAUAUUUUGAUAUUUAAUAUGGGAACAUUAACGUGAGAAGUAAUUUAUUUUACAAAUUCCGAUAAACUAUCUUCUUCAACUACUAUUUUGGGUGCCAAAAUGCACUUUCAAUUAAUUCAAUGAGAACUUCACUUAGCUAUGGCUACAGUAAUUUGAGUAUGUGAAUUGUGUUCACAAAUGGAUUUGGAAGUCUACGAGUCUCCGCGUGAAUUGAGCCGGAGACUUGCUACUUUAAGACGUAAAUGUUAUAUGGUCUAUUUCGUAGGUGGUAAAGAAGAAAGAGAUUAUAGAUUGACUUGGAUAAACUAAUCGAGGAAAAGGCUUAGAACGAAUUCAUCCAAAGUUACAUUAAAAAAAAAACCUUUUCCGCUAGUUUUAAUUUGGAGAUUUUUCAUAGAUGUCACUAAAUUUAAAAAUCUAUCAGGAUUUGUCACUUCUACUAAUGGUACUAAAAAAUGUCACUUGUGGUGGAGGAAAUGGUGGCAGAUAGCUGCCUGACUUUGCCAUUUUUUUGAAAGGCCUUUGACCUAAAAAAUCUCAUUAAAAAAAAAACUAAAAAUGUAAAUAAUACCCAAAGGGUCGAAAAUACCCCCAAAUAAAGAGAAGAGAAGAGGAAAGAAAGAGAAAACUAAGAGAAGAGAAAGAAAAAUCUCAUCACGAAUGCCAUCUCCAGACUACUCAGACCGGAUCGACUUUGACCAUUGCCGGAGAUCGCCAUUUCUCAAAUAUUAGAUUUGUUUCUUUGUAGUUUACUCAUCAUUAAGGUCUAACAUAUGUGGGAAUUUUAAUGUUUGAGUUUAAUACAUAAAAAUUUGAAUAUGUUAAAUUAUGAGUUUAAUACAAAUUUUUAUAAUUAAAAUAGAAGGAAAAGUCGAAUUUGAGGUUGAAUUGGUUAAGAAAAGUGAAAAAAUGGAACUGAGCUUACCGAAAAUAGAGUUUUCAGAUGAUUCAGGCGGCAACGAUGUCACUGUCUGGAUCCAGACGACCCAGAAGGCAGCCAUCUGGAUCCAGAUGACCCAGACGGGGGCCAGCAGUCUGGAUCCAGACGGCCUAACCGUUUGGGCCGUCUGGAUUGGCCCGUGCCAACCAUUUUUUUUAAAUAUUGAAUUUAAUUGUUUAUAAAUAUUUCAUAAAUUAUGUAAAAUUGCUUAUUUAAGUAAUAUGAUUAAUUUUUUUUAUUUCAUUUUAUUUAAAAUAUAAAUAAUAUAAAUAAUAAAAUAAAUAUAAUAAAGAAUUGAAUAUUCAAUAAACAAUUAAAAUAAAUAAGAAAUUAUUAUAAAUAAUCAAAUGAAGUACAUAAAUAUGAAAUAAACAAUUAAAAUAAGUAAUUAAAUAUAAAACAAACAAUAUACAUAACCAAUUAAAAUAAUUAAUGAAACAUUGAAAUAAAAAAUUAAAUUAAAUAUUAAAUAAAUAAGUUAAUAAACAAAUAUUUAAUUUAAUUAUUUUAUUUAAAAUUUUAAGUAAUUACUUUAAUUGUUUAUGUAUAUUAUUUGUUUAACAUAUAAUUAUUUAUUUUAUAGUUUAUUUGUUUAUUUAAAUAUUUCAUGAAUUAUGUUAAUUAUUUAUGUAUUUUGUGUAUUUAAGUAAAAAAUAAAUAACUAAUUGAAAUAAUAAACUAAUUGAAAUGAUAAAUAACUAAUUGAAAUAAAUUCAAUAAAGAAGUAAAUUAAAUAUUAAUUAAGCAAUAAAAAUAAUUAAUUAACAUAAAUAACAAAUAAAUAUAAAUAAUAAAAAUAGUUUAAAUAAGUAAUUAAAUAUUAACCAAACAAUUGAAAUAAAUAAUUAUCAUUUAAAUAUUAAAUAAAUAAUUUAAAUGAACUAUAAAUAUAAAAAAAAAGUCAUUUAAAUAAUUAAUUAAACAAUUGAAAUAAUUAAUUAACAUUUAAGUAUUAAAUAAAUAAUCUAAAUGAACCAUAAAUGUAAAUAAUAAUAAAAAUAAGUAAUUAAAUAUUAAAUAAACAAUAGAAAUAAAUAAUUAAAUAUUAAAUAUUAAAUAAAUAAUUUAAACGAAAAAUAAAUAUAAAAAAUAAAAAAUAAGUAAUUUAAAUAAGUAAUUAGACAGUUGAAAUAAAUAAUUAACAUUUAAGUAUUAAAUAAAUAAUUUAAAUGAACCAUAAAUAUAAAUAAUAAUAAUAAUAAGUAAUUAAAUAUUAAAUAAACAAUUGAAAUAAACAAUUAAACAUUCAAUUAACAAUUAAAAUAAAUAUUAAAUAAAAAAUUAAAAUAAAUAAUUUAAAUACGCAUUUAAAUAUUGAAUAAAUAAUUUAAAUGGACAAUUUAAAUAAAUAAUUAACAAUUAAAUAUUAUUUAAAUAAGUAAAAUAACAAUGACGCGGCUAGGAGACACAAUCAGGGAAUGCGACGAUAUGCCUGACAAGUUGAAGUUGGGGAUGGUGUUUAUACUGUAGAGAGCAUAAUGAGGUGUUAUCACAAGAAAACGUUGAUCGAUGUAUUUCAUUUGGAGGUUGUUGAUGAUAUUGACACAUUCAACAACUAUUUAUGGGAACAGAGCUGAUAGUUAUCAGCUCUUCUCGACAAUCCUGAGGUACGUAUUAUUCAUUUGUGAUUUUAUGUUGUACGUCAUUUCGAAAUCUCCAUGCAGGGUCAUUGACUCGAUGAAAAUGUUAAUAUGUCGCUUGAAGUGUUUACUGAGCUGACACUGUUGAUCGAGGAGGAGGGGCAUAGUCAUAUCCGAGGAGAUGCAGGCGAUGACGGUCUCAGAUAGUGAGAGAGAGGAUGACGAAAAUGGUGACAGGGAGGGUAGAGAUGGAGGGGUGGUAAUGUACACAUAUGUUUCGUUAAAAUUGUUAUGGAUGUUAGUGGGGAUGAGAGAGGUGUCGGUUGAGGAGACGAAAUAAUUGUGUUUAUGAAAUAAUUGUUUUUUUUUUAAAUUUAUGAAAUAAUAUGUAAAAUUUAUUUAAAUAAAAAUGAAAUAUUAAAUACAUAAUAUACACAACCAACUAAGAUAAUUUAAAAAUGAAAUAUCUAAAUAAAAUAAAAUUAAAUAUCAUUUUUUAUUUAAUUAAGUGAAUAAAUAAAUAAUUAAACAAAGUAAUUAAAUAUUAAAUAAAAAAUAUACAUAAAUAUGCUAGAGAAGACCCCCUAACUUGACAGAUAAUAUUGCAAGUUCGGAUGACGUGACAAUUAUGCCGGAAAAGGCAAUGGAAGUGACACCAUGUAAGAAACAUGUUAUUGAUGUGUCAGAGCAAAUUUUUAGCAAGAAAACUAGAUUGCUGUCACAACACAUUAUUUUUUCGUACACGAUCGAGGCAAAGAAGAGAACAUUCGUUGACGGUACGUUGCCUAACCUCUUUCGUGAAAUCGACCCGAGGCGAUUGUGGAAAUUUCGCAUUGAUGUUAAGGCUGUAAAUGGAUCGGAUCUGCUCAAAUUCGAUCCGAUUCGUUAAGAAUAAUUAUCCUAUUCGAUCCGAUCCAAUAAUCCGACAACUAUUUGAAUGUUAAAAAUCCAUAUCCGAUUAACUAUGUUAUCGGAUAUCCGAUCCAAAAUUGAAAAAUUAGAAAAAUAAAGAUUUUAUUUAAUUUUUUCAUUGAAAAUCGUAGCCUCAACAAGAUUUUAAUUAUUUAUUUAUUUUAAAAAAUAUUUGAACCAUUUUGACGGGCUCAUUUAUUAUCUUACAAGGCCCAAAUCAAAAAUUUUUUUUUUAAUCCAAGUGAUGCUCUUUUAACUCCUUUUUAAAUGAGACUCCUCUUAGAAUGUUUUAGUGAUAUCUGAUCUGAUUGACCUAUAUUCGUAUUUGAUUCAUUUAGUUAAUGGAUUCGAAUCUCGAUUGUGUUAUUGGAUUUAGACCCUAAAUCUAUCUCCAAUUAAUUUCAUCGGAGUCGGAUCAUAAUCCAAUCUAUUGAUUCAUUUAGUUAAUGGAUUAUUGAAUUCGAAUCUCGAUUGGGUUAUCGAAUUGAGACCCUAAAUCCAUCUCCGAUUAAUUUCAUUGGAUUCGUAUCGAAUUCGGAUCAAAAUCCAAUACAUUAAUUCAUUUAAUUAACAUAUUAUCGAAUUUAAAUAUCGAUUGAGUUAUCGGAUUGAGACCUUAAAUCCAUCUCCCAUUAAUUUCAUCGGAUUCGGAUCAAAAUCCAAUCCAUUGAUUCAUUUAGUUAACGAAUUAUCGAAUUCGAAUCUCGAUUGAGUUAUUAGAUUGAGACCUUAAAUCCAUCUCUCGUUAAUUUCAUUGGAUUUCGAUCAAAAUCCAAUCCAUUGACAACUCUAAUUGAAGUACAUUGAAUUUUUAGCAUCGAACGUGGUGUAGAGCUGAUAAACCAGAAACACACAUUAAAAUGUAAGCAUUUUUUUUAAAAGUAAGCGUUUUUUAUGUACAUUGUGAUCCGUAGUUGUAAUAAUUUAAAAUGUAAACAUUUUUUUAAAACGUUUGUAAUACUUUAGUUUUUAUGUAAUUGUAUAAUAAAUAACUAAUUACUCUUAAUUAUGUAUAUAACACACUAUAAAUAAAUAAAAAUUGAGUAAAUCAGUAACAUACUAUAAAUAAAAAGUAAAUACGAUUUAAAUAGAUAUUACAUAUUCAUCGGGUCAAUUUUCAUGUAAUCAAUAACACACUAUAAAUAGAGAAAUUGAGGAAAUCAAUAAUAUACUAUAAAUAGAGAGUACAUACGAUUUAAAUAGAUAUUACACAUCCGUUGCGUAGAAAGUAAUAUACGAUAAUCGGGAACUUCCCGCUCGACUUCAUUUGAUAGAUGAAAUAUAGUUUCUAUAUUUUUGAAUAAUGUUCGAUGUCUUGAAAACGUGCCUAAUGUUUGACUUCUAUCUCUAUUAGAUAUCCUCAAGCACCGUGUGAUUUAUGUUCUAACUAAAUAUUAAAUAAAUAAUAUACAUAACCAAUUUAAAAAUUAAUUUUUUAUUCAAAUUAGUGACUAAAAUAAUAAUUAAAUAAAGUAAUGAAAUAUUAAAUACAUAAUAUAUACAACCAAUUAAGAUAAUUUAUAAAUGAAAUAUCUAAAUAAGAAAUUAAAUUAAAUAUUAAUUUUUCAUUUAAUUAAGUGAUUAAAUAAAUUACUGACAAAGUAAUUAAAUAUUAAUAAAGAAUAUGCAUAAUUAAUUAAUGAAAUAUUUAAAUAAGAAAUUAAAAUAAAUAUUAAUUCUUUUAUUUAAAUAAGUGAUUAAAUAAAUAAUUAAACAAAGUAAUUAAACAGUAAAUAAAUAAUAUACAUAACUAAUUAAGACAAUUAAUUAAAGAAAUAUUUAAAUAAGAAAUUAAAAUAAAUAUCAAUUUUUUAUUUAAAUAAGUGAUUAAAGAAAUAAUUAAAUUAAUUAAUUAAAUAUUAAAUAAACAAUACACGAAACCAAUUAAGGUAAUUAAUAAAGAAAUAUUUAAACGAGAAACCAAAUUAAAUAUUAUUUUUUAUUUGAGUAAGUGUUAAAAUAAAUAAUUAAUUAAGUGCUAAUUAAGAUAAUUAAUUAAUGAAAUAUUUAAAAGAGAAACCAAAUUAAAUAUUAAUUUUUUAUUUGAGUAAGUGACUAAAAUAAAUAAUUAAAUAAUUAAUUAAAUAUACAUAAUCAAUUAAGAUAAUUAAUUAAUGAAAUAUUUAAACAAGAAAUCAAAUUAAAUAUUAAUUUUUUAUAUAAACAAGUAAUUAAAUAAAUAAUUAAAUAAAGUGAUAAAUAUUAAAUAAAUAAUAUACAUAACCGAUUAAGAUAAAUAAUUAAUGAAAUAUUUAAACAAGAGAGUAAAUUAAUAUUAAAUUUUUUAUUUGAGUAAGUGUUUAAAAUAAAUAAUUAAAUAGAGUAAUUAAAUAUAAAGUGAAAAGUGUUUGGUUUUUAAAUUUGUAACUUAAGGGUACUUUGUCUUUUUAAACAAAAUUCGAUUUUUGUAAUUGUAUAAACUAUUUAAGGAUAUUUUUAUCUUUUGCUCAACAAAAGGCCAUUUUGAUUAUUGGCAAAAAAAUUUUGUUAAAGCAAAAAAAUGACUUAUUGACUUGCCCAAUCUUAGAAGUAUCCCCUUUGUGGUGUAUGACACGACCCGUCCCGAAUCACCCUAGUGGACUCGAAACGUGACAUGCGCCGAUGAUAGAUGCUUACUAGAUGUCAAAUCUAUCGCCAAGGCUGACUAUGAGUUAUUUCAAAAAAAUGCAAUAAAAUCAAGUGCUUGUAUAAAAUAUAAUGUGAUGGGCCCAAAAUAUUUUCUUUAUACUUCAUUAAUAUCAAUUAUAACACUCAACAUGUCAUGUGGUUCUUUUUCCGAAAUCAUUAGGCUCUUUCAACUAAAAAGAAUCAAUUUUCACCUGUAGGAAAAAUUGUGGGAAAAUAUAUGAGUUGAUAACUCAGUGAGUGGAGCAGUUCGAAAAUAAUUAUACUUUUUCAAUUUUACAUUUCUAUCCAAAAUGGAAUUCAUAUCAUUUAAUAAUUCUCAAAAUAACAUCAUAUAAUUAUAACAAAAGUGAAAUAUUCACAUAAGGUCAUAAAUUAUCAUCUCAAAAUCAUGAUAUAAACAUCAGCUAAUAACCAUGCUAUAAUCUCAUCAUAUCAAACGUGCUGAAAAAUCCACCAAAAAUGUACCCUCUGACUGAAAUAUGUAAUCCGCCCCUCGGGCUAAGAACUUUCGACACGGGCCUUUGGCCCCUCCGUGAACGAAAGUCGGUUUUAAAGACCUCUCAAAAUCAAUUCUAGAACACAGCCAAAAUCCCUCAGUGAACUAUAUGUACACGGUUGACCCUUCAUCUCCGGUCCAUGACUCCUCAGUGUAGUAUAGAACACGGCCAAGGCCACUCAGUGAACUAGAAGAAAUAUAUAAUCACGGGUACUUUUCUGGUCGAUCUCAAAAUCACAUUUCAUAUUCCAAUUCACAAUGCAACGUAUACAAUAUUUAAAAUCUCACAUGUAUCAUAAUAAAAGAUAUUUCCAUAAAAACCAUGUAAUUCGAACACAUAAUUGCAUAUAACUGCACAUACUUUAACAAUAAACUUAAUUUAUAAAUACUUUAAAAAUAUUUAUAUUUUUCCACUCACAGUACUAUAUUCGCAAAAUUAACCUAGUUUGUAAGCUGUUCUGAUGUCAGUGUCGUCGCCUGAAAUACGAUAUAAUUUUUAAAUAAAGAAUUAAUUACUUUAAAUAAUUUCAAUAAUUAAAUAGACGAUACUCAAACUUAAUCAUUUCACUUUUAAACAAUUUGCAUAGCCUAUUUAAUCACUAAAACUAGUUUUUCUUUCAUCUUACUCAGUUUCAUAGUUUAUUAUACUUAACCUCUUCAAUAAAAUUGAAUUUAAUCUAAUAAUCUAACAACUAUAAAAUCAAACAUAACUUGACAAUAAGUAACUUUUUACUUACCUUUUAAAAUUGAGGAAUUCAAGCCUAAUAAUAUAGACCACUUAUUUUUUAACAACAUAUGCGAACUUUCCUAUUUUUUUCGUUCCUUUCCUUUUUUUUCUUCCACUUUUUCCUUCAUUUUUCUCCCUGCUCUCGUUUUCUAUUAGUGUGUGUUGUGUGUGCGCUUGUGGGACAAAAUGAAUAGAUUUUAAACAUGGGUGGAUUGAUAUAAAUCAAUCCACUGCCUCUCUUUUUUUUUUUUCCUUUUGUUUUGUAUGACAUGUUUGACUUUUCUUCUUCUUCUAUUUUUUUUCAUAACCAAAUUAAGGUAUUAUAAAACUCACUCCCUUAAAAGAAUUUCAUCCUUGAAAUUCAAUUAGCUAGAGGUCCAACACGUAAGGAUAUAGAACUCACAUUUAACUUUCGCUACCCAUAAUGCCUCUUUUAUUGAAUGAUUUCUCCAACAAACAUUUAGUACCAAAAUUUAAUAUUUCCCAUCAUAGUUUUAAUAACUUCCUAAGAGCCAAUAUAUGAUAUUCUCGUCUUUUCCUUUUCCCAACUCUUAGGAAAACUUAAUUAUUUUCCAAUUUAAAGUUUAAAAUACUACUUUUCAUGUUCUCCAAAUCUUCACCUUACGCUAUAAUUUAAACUAUUCUCUAAUCACAUUAUUUUUCUAUAACAAUGGUUACAUAUUAAGAUCCAACAACAUUCUUUCGCUCAUUUCGUUAUACGUCCUUGGAAUAUUUCAAUAUUAUAUAUAACCUCAAUUACCGUCACUUAUGCCUAUUUUAUAUAUGUCAAUUCCAUGAAAAUAAAUAAUUAUCCAAGUCUCCUUUAAUUAACCAACCAUAGUUGAUAGCCUCUCUUUCGAACUUGUUUUCAUAGUGUCUAACAUUUUAUCAAAAGAAGAUGCACAACGUAAUUUAAUUAUAUAACUUCUUACAACUAACCAAAGAUGAAUACUCCAGUUCCAUAAUGUAAUUAGCAAUAUUCUCUAAAUAUAAUUUUGUAAGUCUAUCCUAUGAACUGACUAUAUCAUUUAAAAAGAAUCUUGUAAUCUUUAUCAAUCUAUUCGCAAGGAUUUAGAUACUAUUUUGUCUCCAUUCCGUUUAUUUGGAAUAAACAAAAUAAAAAAAAUACUUUAACGGUAACUACCUCCAUUCUAAAUUGACAAUAUCUCCAAAAAUUCAACUGUUCAUGAUUUUCUAAAAUUCUAGUUACCCCCAACAAAACAAUUGAAAUAGUUCAAUAUGGUGUUCUUUUCCUUUAAUUUAUAUCACCAAAUGAUAAUAUAUACACAAUUUUCAUUUCCACCAUUUCGAAUAAAAUAUACAUUAAAGUCUGAUGAUUGAUAAAUAUUGAUAUUUCUCGCAAUGUGAUGACAAAAUCCCGAUAUAACGAACUCCAAAUCAUGUUUUAAUCAUGACUCUUCAACAAUCUAAAGUAUCAUCUAUAAUUUAUAAGUUUACUUCAGAAUACUUUCUAAACCUUAACAUAAAUCAUUAUCGUGAAUCAAUCACUUAUCAUCUUUAGAUAUAAGAGCAAAUAUUUCCUCAGAAUUUUUUAAUAGCAAAACUUUUGACAUUUCUAUAUCCAUAUAAAUUUUGUUCUUUCUUUCUAUGAAGAGAAAAUAAUAACAUUUAAUCAUGAAAAUCUAUGCUCUUAUUCCAUAAAUGGGUCGUUGAUCUAUCAUCACUGCAUAAUCCUUCUUGUAUAUCGCAUAAAGACCUUUAACUAAGAUUAUAACCCAAAGACACUGUCCCACAAUUGAAUAAAAUUUACAUUCAAUGAUCACCCUAAACAUCGAAUUAUUCGACAUAUCAUCCAUAUAUUCCAUAACAAAUAAAUCUCAAUAAAAAUGAAAUACUUUAUACGUGAAAUCCAAAAAUACAAUUGAACAUCACCCAAAAAUUACAUCACUAAAAAUUCAUUAAAUUUAUCUUAACCUCAAAAUUUAACUCAACACUUCCAAAUUUUAUGAAAUAUGACACAAUAAUCCAACGAAUGUCCUUAACGAAAUUAAUUAACUUAAUAACCAAAUCAAUCAUCACAUUAUUUUGCUAUAGAACAACCAUUACGUUCAUUUACAUACUCACCAUAUUAUAUUGUAAUCAUAUAACCUCAUCACAUACUUAUGGAUAUACCAUAUGCCUUCUAACUUUUAAUUACAUCAAUUUUUCUUAAGAUCACAAAAUAAUAAACUUCAUAUUUAUCAUGUGAACCUUUCACACCUCAAUAUACCACCAAAAUUUCAUAUGUUAAUUUUCUAAUCUAAAUAAAUUCCAACUCUACCAUUCUCUACUCGCCUUUUUAUUUUUCGAUUCACAAAAAUAUACCUAAAUACACAUAUCCAUUUAAUUAUAUUUCUUAAGCAACAAAUAAUCCCGCAAUCGAUAAUCAUAAUAAAGUUCAUCCAUAUUUUUCUCACAUUCCUUGUAAUCAAACCACUCAUAAAUAAUCAAAAUAAGUGGAAUUACAGUUAAUUUUCUCGAUGCCUAAAAUACACAAUAACACAUUGUCAUUUAUCAAUCAAUAAAUCAUCAUUUGUCUUUCAGAAUUUCUUAUCAUAUAGUAUAAAUAUACACCAUUGUAGUUUCUAUUAUUAUCCCAUAUAAGUGACCGCAAAUCACCACAAAAUUUUGAUUACGCCACUGAUCAUUUAGUUUCCCAAAAUAAUUAAAAUUCCUCACCUAAUUAUCACCAUUUACACAUAUAAUAUCGUUUUUACUGUUACUAUAGUACAAGCUAGAACUAGGGAUGUCCCAAGUGUAUAUUAAAAACCACGAAAUUCUACACAAAGAUUGGUACUUAAAUGGUUGUACCCUAUCACUUUGAAUGCCUAUACAUAAACAACCUGUAAAAUCAUUAAAAUCUAUUCAACUCUUAAUAGGUUAAAUACACCACAAUUUCAAACCAACAACUAAUAACUCUUUCCACCAAUCGGAUCAUUGCAACUAUCAUAUUUAUAUACUAGUCUUUUCAGGAUUUGUUAAAAAAAUAUUUUUCUAUCAUUUUUUGGUUCCAUACAUUGGAGCUAGAGAGCUUGUGAUUUCUGCCACCACGACAUGUGAACAUACCCACUGAACAUGCAUGAACCAUAAAAAUUUUUAAAAUCAUGUUCUGAUACCAUUUUGACACGACCCGUCCCGAAUCACCCUAGUGGACCCGAAACAUGACGUGCGCCGAUGAUAGAUGCUGACUAGAUGUCAAAUCUAUCACCAAGGCUGACUAUGAGUUAUUUCAAAAAAAAUGCAAUAAAAUCAAGUGCUUAUAUAAAAUAUAAUGUGAUGGGCCCAAAAUAUUUUCUUCAUGCUUCAUUAAUAUCAAUUAUAACACUCAACAUGUCGUGUGGCUUUCAUUCCGAAAUCAUUAGGCUCUUCCAGAUAAAAAGAUCAAUUUUCACCUGUAGGAAAAAUUGUGGGAAAAUAUAUGAGUUGAUGACUCAGUGAGUGGAGCAGUUCGAAAAUAAUUAUACUUUUUCAAUUUUACAUUUCUAACGAAAAUGGAAUUCAUAUCAUUUAAUAAUUCACAAGAUAAUAUCAUGUAAUUAUAACAAAAGUGAAAUAUUCACAUAAGGUCAUAAAUUUUCAUCUCAAAAUCAUGAUAUAAACAUCAGCUAAUAACCAUGCUAUAAUUCAUCACAUCAAACGUGCUGAAAAAUCCACCAAAAAUGUAUUCUCUGACUGAAAUAUGUAAUCCGUCCCUUGAGUUGAGAACUUUCGCCACGGGCCUUUGGCCCCUCCGUGAACGAAAGUCGGUCUCAAAGACCUCUCAAAAUCAAUUCUAGAAUACGGCCAAGGUCCCUUAGUGAACUAUAUGUACACGGUCGAGACCCCUUCAUCCCCGGUCCAUGACUCCUCAGUGUAGUAUAGAACACGGCCAAGGCCACUCAGUGAAUUCGAAGAAAUAUAUAAUCACUGGUACUUUUCUGGUCGAUCUCAAAAUCACAUCUCAUAUUCCACUUCACAAUGUAAUGUAUACAAUCUUUGAAAUUCCACAUGUAUCAUAAUAAAAGAUAUUUCCAUAAAAACCAUGUAAUUCAAACACAUAAUUGCAUAUAACUGCACAUACUUUAACAAUAAAUUUAAUUUAUAAAUACUUUAAAAAUAUUUAUAUUUUUCCACUCACAUUACUUUGUUCGCAAAAUCAACCCAGUUGGUAAGCUGUUCUGAUGUCAGUGUCGUCGCCUGAAAUACGAUAUAAUUUUUAAAUAAAGAAUUAAUUAUUUUAAAUAAUUUUAAUAAUUAAAUAGACGAUACUCAAACAUAAUCAUUUCACGUUGAAACGAUUUUCAUAGUCUAGUUAAUCACUAAAACUAGUUUUUCUUUCAUCUUACUCAAUUUCAUAGUUUAUUAUACUUAACCCCUUCAAUAAAAUUGAAUUUAAUCUAACAAUCUAACAACUAUAAAAUCAAACAUAACUUGACAAUAAGUAACUUUUUACUUACCUUUUAAAAUUGAGGAAUUCAAGCCUAAUAAUGUAGACCACUUAUUUUUUAACAACAUAGGCGAACUUUCCUAUUUUUUUCGUUCCUUUCCUUUCCUUUUUUUUUCUUCCACUUUUCCCUUCAUUUUUCUCCCUGCUCUCGUUUUCUAUUAGUGUGUGUUGUGUGUGCGCUUGUGGGACAAAAUGAAUAGAUUUUAAACAUGGGUGGAUUAAUAAAUCAAUCCACCGCCUCUCUCUCUCUUUUUUUUUUUUGUUUUUUAUUUUUUUUAUUUUGUUUUGUAUGACAUGUUUGACUUUUCUUCUUCUUCUAUUUUUUUUUUCAUAACAAAAUUAAGGUAUUACAGUGUAAGAGGUCCAAAUUAUCCAUAGUGAUACCUUUUUAGGUUAGACACAUUCCUACUUCAAACAUCACGACUUGAGACAAUUUGAGCUAGAAGUUCUUACAUAAAUAUUUCCCACAAAAAAAAAUUGUCAAGUUGAGAGAUGAGAUCACUACACUCUCACAACCUAACUCAGAUUGCUAUCAUGAAGUAUGAAAGAUAUAAAAAGGUUUGCUUUUACAAUGCCACAACAUGGGUUGUAAAAGUUGCUAUUAAGUCUAGAACUUAUACAAUAGCCUGAAUCCGACUAGUCGGUAGCACUGACUUUGCAUGUGAUGGGUUAGUUACAAGAAGGACAAUGGAUCAGAUGUAUCAAAUCACGGAGGAUCUAGCAUAAACCAAUAUAAUAUGGCCAACAAAAAAUCGGGCGAGAGUUGUAAGGAUGCAUGAUGUUGACAAUUGAUAGCUUUUUCAGCAAAGUUGCAGCACUAGCUAAAAGGUAGAUAAUUGGGCAACCAAUCAAGCAAUGAAUGCAGUACAAAGAGCUAGGCCGAGAUGUAAAUAUUGCAGGGGUAAUCAUGAAAAUAUGAAUUGUAAUCUGGGGAGUCCAUUUGUACAAUCAAUUGAGGAUGUGAAUUACAUAUAAAAUUUUCAAAGAUAACAUAAUAAUCCCCAUUCCAAUAAAUACAAUCUGAGUUGGAAAAAAUCACCCAAACUUCUCUUGGAGCAACUAUCAAUCUUCUCAAGGCACAACAUAUCAAAAUGCAUCACCAGGUUUUCAACAACGAGAAUAAAAACCCUCAUGAGAAGAAGUAUUGAGUAAAAUGGCAACAUCAACCAGCAUUUUCAAAAUGCCUGAAGUAUCAACUAAAUUCAUACAACAAAUUGAGAAAGAUUUUCAGGUUGAAGUGGCUGCUAUAAAGAAUUUUGAUACUCAGAUGAACAAAUAACUAAGACACUUUCAGAGAGACAACCAAGAGCCUAGUCUAGUGACUAUAAGACAAAUCCUAAGUAGCAGGUAAUGACAGUAUGAAAUAAUUGAGAAAUCGCCUAUGAAAGCACUAGCUUUAGUUCAGGCAAUUAUUAGGUGGAGUGGGGUUCAACUUCCAAAAAAUAUAUUUAAGAUGUAGGUAGUAUUAAAUGAAAAUGUACCUUCCAUAAAUGAGCAAGUGGACAAAUUUGAACAGUUGGCAAAAAUAGUUACAAAUCAAAAGUCAGUAAUCUACAGGCUAGGCAAUAGUUUCUAUCAGGACUUAUGUGCUUCCUACCCUAUUUCCUCAAAGAUUGUAAAAAAAGGGAGCUCAAAGAACAAUUUGAGAAGUUUUUGGACGUGCUAAGGAAACUCUACAUCAACAUACUGUAAAGGAAAUUAGGACUUGGAGAAGUAAAGGAAACAAUGGUGUCAUUGUAACUGGCUAAUGGAAGCAUCAAAUAUCCAAGAGGCAAGGUUUUGAUGUACUAAUUAAAGCUGGAAAGUUGAUAUUCUUGAUGGAUAAAGAUUGAAAUAUUCCAAUAAUCUUGAGUUGACCUUCCUAGCAAGCUGUCAAACUUGAUUAACAUGGAAAAAGGUGAGUUGACUUUGAGGGUGAGGGAUGAACAAGUAGUCUUUAAACUACACAAUCCAUCCAAACAACCAUCAGACCUUGAGGUGUGCAAUUGUAUUGAUGAAGAUGAUCCACGAAGUUUUCAGAAAAAGAAAACCUAAAGUUGGUGGAAUUCCCGAUAGACAUGAGAAUGGAGAGUUCUGGUUUAGAGAAAAAAAAUGAGGAUGGAAGACUAAAAAUUACAAGGAGUACAAGGAUGAAACCCCUCUAUUAGAACCACCAUAAGUAAUCAUGCUACAAAAUCUAGCUGAAGACUUUAAAUUAAGCACUUAUUGGAAGACACCCCUAUUCUUCUUUUUAUGGAUGGAAUGACUCAAUGUAAGUUUUUCAAAAUUUUCAAACAUCCCAUCAUAAGAAUUUGAUAACUCAUCAUAAGAACAUUUUUCAUUUUAUGCUUACCUCGUCUUCGAUUGCCAUGAAGUACAUGUUUGCAAUUUCGUCUUGACUAUAAUUUUCAUUUUUCUCCUCAUCGUCACUAUCAUCCCAUUUAGCUUGAAGCACCUUUUUCUUGAGAUUUUUCUUUUUGUUUUGGCACUCGAUUCUAUUGUGACCGAGCUUAUCACAAUCAUAACAAAUAAUCUUCUUGCUUCAUUCUUCGCCAUUUUUCUUCUUUUAAAAUCUUCGAUUAUUAGGAAGACCUUUCCAUUUUUUGACGAGAAAAAUCAUGUUCCAUUUUAUGUUUCUUUUUCAAUUUCUGAUUUUAAAGCAAUUUGUCGUUUGGGAGGCUCCUUUGAUUCUGCCUUGCUUUUUCUUGUUUUCUCCUUAAUCUCGACAUUAUUGAGCUCAUAGGUCAUUAAUGUACUGUAGAGCUCCUUCAAAAGAUAUGUAUUUAUAUCUUGGUACUCUCGAUCAACAUCCUCAAUAGGCUCCAUUCCUCCGAUAAAGACCUACACAUUUUGCUAACAAGCUCACCGUUAGUAAAUUUAAUAUCAAAACUUUAAGACCAUUUACAGUAUCAGUGAAACGUGUAAUCAUAUCAAAAAUAUGCUCAUCUAGUUUCAUUAAGAAAUUUUAAAAUUCUUUAACUAACAAAUUUAUUUUUGUUUCCUUAACCUUACUCGUGCCAAAAUGAGUGAUUUCAAGUGUAUGUCAAAUAUCAUAUGCCGAUGUGAAUAUUCGAUUAAAUUCAUUCAUAUUUAGUGUACAAUAAAGUGAUUCUUAGCCUUAACAUUUAAAGAUAAUUUUUUCUUCUCUUGUUCAUCAUAUACCUCCCUAAAUUUAGAAAAGUUUGAUCCGGUCUACCGUCUAUUUUAAUAGUCUUGGUAGGAAUAUAUGGACUGUAUUCAAUAACUUCUCAAAUAUUAUAAUCAAUUGAUUAAACAUAUAUCAUCAUCCUAACCUUCCAAUAAUUAUAGUGUGUGCCAUCAAAGGAGGGAUGUCGGUUUGUGGAGUGCCCCACAACAUUUUGAAAAACUUGGUUAGUCAUUACUUAAUAUUGUAAAAUCUUUUGAAAAUGAGUACCAAGCUCUGAUACCAAUUGAAAGCCCAAAAAAACUAACCAAGAGGGAGUGAAUUGGUUAUCGAAAUCUGUUUCAAAAAUAAAUGCUAAUUUAAGCAAUUAGCAAAUAAAUAAUAUAAAUAAAAUAGUAAGUGAAAGGAGUACAAGACUCAAACGAUGUCAUUUGGAGGUUCAAUCCAAACAAUGAUCUACUUCUCCGUUACCAAGCUUUUCGUCACGAGUAAGGCCUUUUUCACUAUUGUUGAUUGACUUAUGGUACAAUCCAACCCUUACAAUGCUUCCGAUGAGUUACAAUCCAACCCAUACAACGUUGAGCUUUUCGAGACCUCAACACGACCCACAAUCCAAAACAAGAAAAACGAAAUUACAAAUGAAAGCUUCUCUCUUAAUAAAUAAUAUGACCACAAUUAAGUAUCAAGAAAGAAGUAGGUACAACACUUAAAUAAAUUUCAAAGAGUAUAGCUCAAGUGUUGGAUGAAAAACUUUAAUUGAGAUAAAUGAUUUUUGCAAGUUUUGAUCACUUAAAAAUGUUUUUCAAGAAUUAGAUAAUUUGAUCUCUUAAAGAUUGAAAACUAAGGUAGAAAGGAUCAAUAAAAAUGUCUCACUUAAAUGCUCAAGCGUUGUUGUUAUAAAUGUGUAAGAAAAUGAGGUAUUUAUAGUGUUCAAACGGUAUGUCCAGUUGGGAUUCGGACGGAUAACUAGCUGUUUGAAAAACAGUCGAAAAAUCGACCGCUGGACGUUCGGAUGGGCACUUUUGCCCUCCGAACUUUUUCUUUCGUGACAAAUUUGUCCAUUUAGGUUCUAAAAAGAUUUUCUCAUUUAUUUUGUAUGGAUAAGUAUUUUUAUAAACUUUUAAUCAUUAAAACGAAAUUACUUAUUCUUUGAAAAUAAUUUUUGUGCGAGUUGAGAAAAUGUUUCCAUGUGUAAAAAUUUCUUGAGCUAUAGUCGAUACGGAAUAUUAAUGUGUCUUAUCUUUACAUUUAAGUUAAAAAUGCAUCUAUAGCUGAAGUCUUCAAUCUCUUCUUUAAUGUGCUUUUUGACACGAAGGCUCGAUUUCUGUCAAUACGUUCGUCAAUCUCUAAUUUGCUUCUAUGUUGAUCGUCAAGCUCCAAAAAUGUUCGUCCAUAUGCAUGAGUCUUGAUCUUGAAACUUGUAUCUUCAUUCUCUAUUGAUUUCACAAUAAUCACUAUCAACACUCAAAUUCAAUUUGUUAAAAUUAAACGCAAUUUGUUUGUAAUAAUCAAAACAAGAAGUCAAUCAUUAGGUCAAUAGUUAUCACAAAUAUGAGCUAGUCAUUAUUAAAUUACAGUUAGAAUAAUAAAUAAAACAUCGAAAAUGUCCCAACUACUUGUUGAAAUUAUCAAUUUGAAAUUUUUUUCUUGAUAAUAAAAUUUUAACUUUUUAUGAUUGCCAAAGUUUGGCAAUUUGUUUGCUUUCAUGUUAGCCAACCUUGGUUACAUUAAACCUUGCAUUAAAGAAUAAUCAGUUCCAAGACUAAUUUAAUAAUUCGUGGCCAUUUAUUUUUAAUAGAGUAAUGAGUCAUAUGAUAUUAAUGUAGGGAUGUAUUAAGAAAAAUGUAAGUAAAAUUUAUUGUUCUAACUAUAUUAACUACUCACCCGUCUCAUUUAUAUAGGCUGACUUUCUUAUUUUCUUGUCCCAUUUAUAUAGUCAUUUUUUAUUGAAAAAGUAUUUGUUUUGUUCAUUUACUAAUACUCUUAUUUAAUUUACCUUAUAAUAAAUUUCUUCUACUUAAUCUUAAAAUGGUACGGAUUUUAGUUUACCAUCUUGGAAUUAUCUAUAUAUAUACAUACACAUACUUUCCACUUCUUCUUGGAAACAUCGACAAAAAUACAUUUAAUCCUUGUUAUUUAUUCCUAGUUGUUGAUAAUUAAAUACAAAUAAACUAGGAAAAUUCUUUACAAAAACAUUUUUUCAAUGACAUUAAAUAAAAUUUCUUAAUCUGUUUGACAAACAAAAUUUAGGGAUGACAGUGGUUCGGUUUCUGUUCGAUUCGGCCAAAAUCAUCAUCGAACCUUCAAAUUUUUUGCUAUACUAUAACCACGUAAAUCCGUUCAAUUUGGUUCGGUAUGUAUCUCUGUUCGGCUUGGUUCGGUUUGGUUAAUAACCACGAAAAUAAAUUAUUUUUUAUAGGUUCAUCCGUCAAAUUGAUAUAAAACAAUUUAUGAAAAGAGAAUCAAUGAAAACAAAAACACAAUAUUCCAAACGAAAAUCCAAACAUUAUUCCAAAUUUCAAUUGCAAAAUACAAAUUUAACAAACAAUAUUAUGAAUAUAAUAAUACUAAACUUUUCCUUCAUUCUUGAUUCUUGUGCAUUGUAGUUACUUAAUUCAUGUUCAAUAAUUCAAAAGCUUCAUAACUCAUAUUCAAUCUUCAUUCUUCCCCACAACUCUUACUAGCAUAUGUCAGCACUCAAAAUUGAUCCUGUAUAAUAAAUAAAAAAUGUAAAUAGAGAAUACAGCGAUACUAACUAAUCAAGAAUGGUUUUAACUAAGAUUUAAAUAAAAAAAUGUACAUUUUCGUCAACUUCAUCCUCACUAAACCUUGCUAUCCCUGAUAAAAGAAUGGUUUUUUUAAGCGAGUAAUCGGUUUGGUUUCAGUUCGACGGCAUAAAUAUCAUACCCGUACCACCACGAACCAAUUCAUUAAAAUCAAAUACCAUAUCCGCCCCCAUUGCACCAUCGGUUCGGUUAACCGCGAUUUUCGAUUUUAAUGGUUCAAAUUAUCAUCCCUAACAAAAUUAGUCUAUAUAAAUGAGGCGGAGGGGAAUAAUUUUUUUAUCCAUAUAAAAAUGGAAUCUAACAUCUUUAUGGAACAGACAAAGUACAAAGUAUAUUUUUCUUAUUUCUUUUUAUUUUUUUCCACCUUCUUGACUUAUAUGGGAACAUAAAAAUAAGGGAAAAUUUCAGUCGAGGUACCAAACCCUUCGUUUAUUAGCAGACUUUGCCCAAACCUUUCAUUUGUACCAUCGGAGGUACCAAACCUUUCAAAUGGAUGGAAACUGUUAGUAAAUCCGUUAGUUGACCUAGAGUCAACAUUUUGACCAAAAUUUGACUACAUUUUAAAGGGUAAAAUGGUAAAAUUAUAUUUUCUAUAACAAACAAUUAAAAUAAAAACCUAAAACACAAAUACACUUCAUCUUCUCAACAUACCCUGCACACACCCACCCCCCAAAACCAAAACCAGGAAUCGGAACCACCACUGCCACUCACUCCACCGCCGAAAAUCACCACCAAAACACCAUGGAAAAUAAUUUUCUCUUCCAUUCACUGUUUUCAAUAAAACCAGUUUGUAAAUGUGUAAAUUUCUCUAUCCAUUUCUGUAUAAUGAGGUCAUCUUCAAUUCUUAUCCUUCAAUUCUAUACAAUCUUGUUAAUCGACUCACCACUUCUAUGCUACAGGUUUUAAGUACUUAGAAAUGCGAGUACAAAAACUUUGCCCACUGCUUAACCCCUCCCGGUACUGAUUCUCCGAUCGGUACCCUACACUUGCACAGAAUUUAUGCAACUAUUGAUUGGCAAAUCUCGCAAAUGAUGAGAAGCAUAUACUGAGUUUUCGUGUUGUGGGUAGGGAGCAUAAGUUGAAUAAUUAUCGAUCUGUAAUGUCUACUUGUGAGAUUGUUGCAUUUCUGCAUUUUUGGUCGUUCAAGCUGGUGGAUCUGGUGAUGGCAAAUUUCCAAUUACUGCCAUUUUGCUCAAUUUGUGAGGAUGUGAUGUAUUUGUUUGGAACAAUGAUGUAGAAGGAAAUUAUUUGUCAUGGCAAUGGUGGCAUUUCAGGCUCGGUGGUCGUGGAGGUGAUUGGUGGUCACCAACGCAGUGGAGGUGGAUGUGGGUUGGAUUUUGGUUGAUUUGAUAGGGUUAGAUGAAGGCAGGGGAAGACGGGUGGUGGGAAGAAGAUGACUAAUUUUAUUUCAUUUUUUGGUUUUUUUAAUUUAAUUAAUUUAAUUGGUUUUUAUAAAAAAUAUAAUUUUACCAUUUUACCCUUUAAAAUGCAGUCAAAAUUUAGUCAAAAUGUUGACUCUAGGUCAACUAACGGAUUUACUAAUGGUAUCCAUCCAUUUGGAUUUUGGAUGCGGAUUUUUGAAAUGUUUGGUACCUCUGAUGGCACAAAUGAAAGAUUUGGGUAAAAUAUGCUAAUGAACGAAAGAUUUGAUAUCUUGGCCGGAAUUUUUCCUAAAAAUAAAAUAAAAUUGUGCAUUUACAAGUAAUUUGGAUUGAAACAUUGGUUUUGAUCGACAAGAAAUCUGUUGUGACCACGAACUGGAAAAUAAUUCAAGGGUUUCCCACAAUAUUAUACACCUUUUUGGUGGCAGGAAAUACACGCUAUUCAUAUAGCAAGAGAAUGGAAUAAUUUGGACUGCUGAUUAGGCCAACUUGAAAAUUCUUAAUUAAAUUAUUAGUCUCCCAACAUUGGAGGGACCCACGAGUAGAAGAAAUUAAGGACAAUGUAGGAACUCGAUUGGACCAAAGAUGCAAAUGUUUACAUGGAUUAUUGUGUAUAGAAAAUGAUAUCCCUUUCAGCCUUUCUUUCAAUUAUUGUCCCCUUCCCUAAAAUAAAUCCAUUAGUAGUUUAUUGGAAAGAAAGAAUGGAAACUAUGCUCCAUAUAAAACUAUCAUCACUAACUACUAUUUUGGGUGCCAAAAUGCACUUUUAAUUGGAUUGUUUGCCAGUUUUUAUUUUUUUCGUAGUUCAGGAGUUUUAGCCCCUUUUUGGUGGUCAUUUUUUUUUUUUGAAAAAUAUUAUCUUAAGUAAUAAUUUUUUAGAGAAUGUACGGUUAAGAAGUGAAAAAAAAUUUGGUGUUAAGUUUAUAAUAUUUUAUUGAGUGGAUGUGAUUGAAAAUAAGUAUGAAAGAAAAAGAGUUUUGAAAGAAUAAGGGACAAACUGAGACUUAAUUCAAUGGAGUGAAAUGUUUCAAAAGUCACCGAACUUAUACAUUGGUCACGGACUAAUCACUAAACUAUAUUACAAUGCUUUAAAAUGCUUACUGAACUUGUCCCGUCACUCCAUCCCUCACACCCCAAAAUUUGUUAAUUUUUUUGCUAACGUGGAGGAUGGUAAUCUCACAUGGCCAUAGAUUGCUUGCCACAUCAAUGGUUCAUUCUACUCACAAUUAAUAAUUAUUACUAAAAUUAAAAAAAGAACCAAAAAUAGGACAUUUAAAAUUUGAAACUGUGUUCUUCAUGUGGACACAGUUUUCGUUUUUUACAAAUCACGUUUUUUUAUUUUUUUGUUAAAAAAAAUAUAAAAACAUAAAAAUACACAACUGGAAGCCCAAAUUCAAGCCCCUAUUCUUCCCCAAAUCAGUGAAGUGGAAACUCCUCAAAAACCCUACCCAUUUGUUGACGAACCCUAACAGUAAAUAUUGGAGAUCCGUCCUACAAUCGACCCCAUCUGUUCAAUAUUUACACAUUAUGCACAUGGAGGGACCACUUGAAGGUAACUUGGAACAAAUAUUUUAUAUUUCAUUUGUUGUUUUUGCACGUGAUGUUGGUCUAAAGUUAUUUUUUGUGUUGGAUUUAUGUGAUGGUUAUCUGCUUUAUGAAUAUGGGCUACAAGUAUAAUAAUAUUUUCUUUUUUUUGGGCCGCAUGGACGCCCAAAAUUCAAUGGUUCAGGAAGUGAUGAAAACUCUCUAGAUGGGAUUGAAAAUUACUCGACCGAGGACCCAAACUUCAUCGAUUCUAGUAAUGAGUUAGACUCCAGAGGUAAAUUCUGAUAACAAAUAAACUUGUCUGUGGUUUGUUCCCGUCCAUCAAGUCCUCACACAUUCCAAGUGACCACAAUAGCAUAAGCUUCAUGCGACUCUCUGUCCAGAUGCUUCGGACAUUAUCAUCGCACUACUUUCGUUCGGCUACAAAUUGUUGGACGCGCUAGCGUUUCGCUAUUGGGUUAUGGGCUACAAUUAGAUGAGAAUAGAACAAUGUGAAUAUUUUGGCAUGAUUUAUGGAAAAGUUGAAGAAAUGGGUAGGGCUUUUGAGGAGCUUCAUUUGGGGAAGAACAAGGGCGUGAAUUUGGGCUUCCAGUUGUGUUUUUUUAUGUUUUUAUACGUUUUUUUUUUUCUUUUGUUGUGUUUUUUGGAAACGUGAUUUGUGAAAAAAGGAAACUGUGUCCACAUGAAGAACACGGUUUCAGAUUUCAAAUGUCCUAUUUUUAGUUUUUUUUAAUAAUUAUUAAUUGUGGGUAGGAUGAACCAUUAUGUGGGACGCUGUCUAUGGCCACCCGAGAUUACCGUCCUCCAUGUCAGCAAAAAAAUUAACAGAUUUUAGGGAGCGAGGGAUGGAGUGCAAACGGGACAAGUUUAUUGAGCAUUUUAAAGUAUUUUAUAGUUCAGUGAUUAGUCCAUGACCAAUGUAUAAGUUCAAUGAUUUUUGAAACAUUUCACUCACUUAAUUCAACAAGAAGUAAAAUUUGCUAUAAAAAAAAAAAAGGCUACAAUUAUUUGAGGGGUUAAUUAUAUGAAUGGUCACUGAACUUUGCCCUAUGUUACUACUUAGUCACUGAACUUAAAAAUGUAUCUCAAUGGUCACUGAACUUCGUCAAAUAUUACUAUUUGAUAACCGAAUUUUAAAAUGUAUCUCAAUGGUUACCGAACUUUACACCAUGUUACCCGUCCGUCACUCAAAUGGAAAAAUCCGUUAAGUCCAACAAACUGCGUAAACUUGAGUGACGGGUGGGUAAUAUGGUGUAAAGUUUGGUGACUAUUGAGAUAAAUUUUAAAGUUCGAUUAUGAAGUAAUAACACUUGACGAAGUUCAGUGACCAUUGAGUUACAUUUUUUAAGUUCAGUGACUAACUAGUAACAUAGGGCAAAGUUCAGUGACCAUUAAGAUAUAUUUUUAAAUUGAAUUGUUAAGCCCUUGUUUGAGUCUCAUUCUUUCCAAAAAAAAAAAAUAAUAAUAAUAAAAAUAAAAAUAAAUUCUUAAACGGUGAUUUGACAUCAUUCAACAACACAUUCUUCAAUAAAAUAAUAUUACAUGUAAAUUCAAAAUUUUUUUUUAUUUCUUAACUACAUAUUUUCCAUUAAUAUACUAUUUAAAAAAUCAUUUUAUCCCUCAAAAUGAGGAUCAAAUAAAGGCUAAACUUAUCAAAUCGACCUCUAUGAAAAAAGAAAUUAAAGAAAAUGAGGAGGAAAAAGAGGAAACAGAAAAUCAGAGAUCUAUAAAUUAAAUAAAAAUAGAAUUUUUGCUAAUAUUCAUCCAUAAAUUAAAUAAAAAUAGAAUUAUUGCUAAUAUUCAUCCAUCAUGGUGAAAAAGUACGUUUGAUUUUUAGAUCAAUUGAUAUCAGCUCACCGUAUCUCAAAUUCUGCAUAAAUAGAUUGAAAUAUAAACAGUUGGAACACUAAAAGAAAUUGAUAAAGAAAAGUUAAAUAAAAGUACAAAAAUGUUCGAAUAGUGUCAAUGUAACUGAGGUCGAUUUGAUUUUUCAACUAUGUUACUACUUAGUCACUGAACUUAAAAAUGUAACUCAAUGGUCACUAAACUUCGUCAAGUGUUACUACUUCAUAACCGAACUUUAAAAUGUAUCUCAAUGGUCACCGAACUUUACACCGUGUUACCCAUCCGUCACUCGAGUUGAUGCCAUUUGUUGAACUUAACAGAUUUUUCCAUUUGAGUGACGGAUGAGUAACACGAUGCAAAGUUCGAUAACUAUUGAGAUACAUUUUAAAGUUCGGUUAUGAAGUAAUAGCACUUGACGAAGUUCAGUGACCAUUGAGUUAUAUUUUUAAGUUCAGUGACUAAGUAAUAACAUAGGGCAAAGUUCAGUGGCCAUUCAUAUAAUUAACCCGUCAUUUGAGUAUGUGAAAUGUGACUUUUCAGGAUGUAUUUCGAAGUCUAACGAGUCUCCUUGUGAAUUGAGCCUGCAACUUGCUACUUUUAAGAUACACGUGUUUCAUGGAUUUAACAUAAUAACACGUGGUAGGUGGUAAAGAAGAGAGGGAUCAUGGAUUGACUUUGAGUAGACCGAUAAAUGAGCCUAAAGUUAAGAUCAAAUUCAUCCAAAGUUAAAUAAAACAAUAAUGUCUCCCAGUUUCAGCUUUCAGGAUUAUACAUCUACCAUAUAUAGGCGAAUUUAUGGUAACGAAGAAUUAAUUUGGGAAGAAAUGGCGGACGAAGGUGCCAUGGGACGGAGUGAGUAAUUUUUUUUUAAAUAAUAUAAAAUAAAAUUUCUUAAUCUAUCUAAAAAACAAAAUCAAUAUAUAUAAAUGAGACCAAGUGAGUAAUUUUAAUUAAUUUAUUUAUUUUUAUCCAUGUUAAAAAUCGAAUCAAACAUCUUUAUGUGACAUGGAGAGUACAAAUUAUAUUUUUUCUUAUUCCUCUUUUUUUAAUUUUUAACUUUUUUUUUCCACCUUUUUGACUUAUAUGGAAACUUCUCUUUUUAAGUAAAAAAAAAAUAAUGUAGUUACAAGUUAUUUGGAUUGAAACAUUGGUUUUGAACAAACUUAAUUACAUGAAUAGACAGUAAAUUUGAUCGACGAGAAACAAAUUUGAAAUAGCCCAUAAACUAUCUUCAUUAGUUAUUGCCUGGGUGACAAAAUGCACCUCUAAUUGGAUUGGUAGCAAGUUUUCAUUUCGUCCUUCGUCCAAGAGAUGUAAGGGUUGUUUGAGUCUCAUUUUUCUUAAAAAAUUCAUUUUCUCUAAAAUCAUUUUUCUAUCAUACAUUUUUUAAUAAAAUAAUAUUACAUGUAAAUUAAAAUUUUUUUCUUAAUUUUUAUUCAUACAUUCUUCAAAAAUUACUAUUAAAAAAUACAUUUAUUCUCUCAAAAUGGGACUAAAACAUAAAUUUAAUUAAAUGAGUGGUUAAAUUUGCUGUAAAGAAAAAGUGCUACAGUAACUUAUGUGAACAGUGACUUUCCCAAAACGUGUUUGGGAGUCAACGAGUCUCCGUUUGGUGGGUGGAAAAUAAAGAAGAAAGGGGUUAUAGAAUGACUCAGGUAGACCUAUAAAUAAACCUAAAGUUAAGAUCAAAUUCAUCCAAAGUUACAUGAAAAAAAUUUCUCCCAGUUUCAGUUUUUAGGAUCAUACAUCUGCCAUCUACCAUAUAUAGGCGGAGAAUUAAUUUAAGAAGAAAUGGCAGACGAAACUGCGGUGGGAUUUCUGCUAGAAAACUUGAAGCAGCUACUUCUUUACAAUGCAAAUCUGAUUCUUAAUGUGAAGAGCGACGUCGAAUCUCUGCACAAAGAUCUGCAAUUGUUCAAAGCCUUUCUCAAAGAUAUGGCAAAAAGGGACAACAACCCUGAAGUCCUAAAUUCACUGGUGAAUCAAAUCAGAGACAUUGUGUACGAAGCAGAAGACUAUGUGGACAUGUAUGUUUCUCAUUCAGCUAUGCAGAAGGCUCGAAGAGGCGUCGAAAGAUUUGUCCAUAUAUUCGAUCAUACGACGACGCUUCGAGGUACGGCAGAGAAGAUUAAGGCUACGAGGACCAAGGUCAAUGAAAUAUAUCAAAACAAGAUAUUUGGGUUUGAAGCCCUGCUAGUUGCUGCUCCUGCGGUCAAAAAGAAAGAGGUAAAUUGCCAUUACUCUGAUUAGUGAUUUCGAAUCUUUGCUAAUUGAUUAUUUGCUUAGUUGAUUGUGUUUACAAUUUAUCAUUUCCGAGCAUGUUUGGCUAAUCAUAAUAAAAACUUGGUAAUUUGUUUAGAAAAAAAUAAACUGGGCAUCUCGAGGGAAUCUUGAUAUUAGAAGUUAGGGGAGUAUUUUUCAAAACAAGGAAACACAAGAUCUGAUGAAUUCAAUAAGAACGAAAAUUAAGUUGACCAAACCUCCUUUGUUGUUUCAAGAAUUAAUUAAUUUUAAUGCUAAUUUUAAAAUUGUAAUUUAGAGCCAGUUUGACAUGCUUCUGCUUCUUUAUCGAAAAGCUCUUCUUUUUGAGAAAAAUAUGUUUUAUAGUAGCUUCUUUAUAUCAUUAGUUGCCUAAUAAAUCUUUACUCUGUACAUAAUUCAUUUUCAUUUAUAUGUGUCAUUAAAAUAUAUGACUAAUAAAGUAUGUUUCAUAUUCCUCUUUGACAUAUUUACUUUAAUUCACACAAUAAAAUAUUAUAUAUGUAAACUUAAAACAUUUUUCUACUUUUUAACCACACAUUCUAAAAAAAAAUACUAUUCAAAAUAAUGUUUUAAUAUUUGAAAGAUGUCAAAUAGGGUCUUAAUUAGUGAGUAAUACUACCUAUUCAAUUAUUUAUAUGGACCGAGUUUCAUUUUCUCUUGUCCUAAAAUAUAGGCCUAUAUCUUAAUUUAGAAUAGGUUGUUUUGUUCCUUUACUAAUAUACCUUAAUCAAUUUUUCUCACUUAAUAUGCCAACUUUUUGAAAUUAUUCAAAUACACACAUUUCCCACUUUUUAGAAACAUGAACAACUCUCGUUUCUUCUUCUUCAAAUUAAAUCAUUCAAAUUUUUUACUAAUUCCAACAAUAAUUUAUUACUGUAUAUUGAAUUUUAAAUAGGGGUAAAUUAGGAAAGAUCUUGGUAAGAAUUAAUUUUCCAAUGACAUUAAAUAAGAUUUCUUAAUCUGUGUGAAAAACGAAACAAGUCUAUAUAAUUGGGAUGAAGGGAGUAUUAGUAGAUAUGCAUUCCUAGUUAGGUGACAAUGGGUCCCUUGCUUCAUUUUUUAAUCUAUUAAAGUGCGUUACACCUAUAAUGGAUAAUGAAUCGAAUUCCAUUGCCAUCUUUACCACCUAACUAGUGAUGCAACUCUACUAAUGAAAAAUAACAUUAUUCUUUCUGCUAUUGAUCCCAGCUUAUCUUCAAACAAUUGCAACACUAAAUAUCAUUACAUGAUUUUGAAUGAAGUGUGUACUACUAAACUAAGUUUACUACAAUCUUGAAUGCCAUUUGGUCUCCAUUUAAUAUCAAUACUAUUAUAACAUAUAUUAAAGGCUCCAAUUUCACCUCAACUGAUUAUUGCUCACUAUAUUAUAGCCUCCCAUUGUGGAAGACAACGUGGUGGGCUUUGAAGAUGAGGCCCAAACAGUAACCAAACUUCUCACUGAAGGGUCCGAGGAACUACAAGUUAUAUCAAUAGUUGGCAUGGCUGGUCUUGGUAAGACAACACUGGCUAAAAUGAUAUAUACUGAUCGUGAUAUUGAGUUUGAAUUCUACAACCGCGCAUGGAUUUUUGUUUCUCAAAAAUAUAGUAAAAAGGAAGUGCUUCAGGAUAUUCUACGACAACUUACUGCUAAGCCUAGUAAAUCUGACAUGAAUGAAGUUGAAUUAGUUGAUGAACUUCGUAAAUUUUUGAAGGAAGCAAAAUAUUUAAUUGUCAUGGAUGACGUGUGGACUAACGAUGCUUGGGAUGAUUUAAAAACUGCGUUUCCUGUAAACAAGAAGAAGAGUAGAAUUUUACUUACUACUCGUAUUGAAAAAGUGGCUAAGUGUGCCAACCCCAACAUUGAACCCCAUAAGUUGCGAUUUCUAACUGCUCAAGAAAGUAGGACUUUAUUCCAAAGGAAGGCACUUGGAUCAAUGGAGUGUCCUGACGAGUUGAGAGACCACGAACAGCGAAUUGUUCAGAAAUGUAAAGGACUACCACUGACAAUAGUUGUGAUUGGAGGAAUUUUGCUAGGAAAAGGUAAGGAAAGUGAAUCGUGGAAAAAAGUUGCUGAAAGUGUGGAGGCAUUUAUUAACAUGGACGAGCAGAAAAAAAUGGACCAUAGUAUACAAAUGAGUUUUGAUCAUUUACCUUAUCACUUGAAACCAUGUUUUCUCUACUUUGGGAUAUAUCCUGAAGACUUCCAAAUUCCAGUAUGGAAACUGCUUCGCCUUUGGAUCGCUGAAGGAUUCAUACAGCAAAGUGAAGGAAUGAAUAUGAGUUUGGAGGAUAUUGCUGAAGAGUACUUGGAAGAUUUCAUCAGCAGGAAUUUAGUCAUGGUUGGGCAAAGGAGGUCAAAUGGCAAAGUUAAAACGUGCCAUAUUCAUGACAUGCUACACUUGUUUUGCAAGACACGAGCUGCACAAGAAAGUUUUUUCGUCGAAAUUACGCAUCUUAAUCAAGCUACUUAUUCAUCUCCCAACAUUGACUCUGAAAAGUGUCGUCGCCUUUCCAUCAAUUCCAGAAUUUCGAACUAUCUCUUUUCAAAACCAAGUGGUCCACGUGUUCCACGUGUUCGGUCUUUUUUGUGUUUCUCCCAUGAAGAAAUAACCUUGCAAAAUGAGCAAAAUUCUUCAAUCCCUCAUGCAUUUCAAUUGCUCAGGGUGUUAGAUGGUAAACCCAUCCAUUUCACUCGUUUUCCUCCUGACCUAACUCUACUUGUACAUUUGAGGUAUCUUGUUCUCUCCUGCACCAUCAAAAUACUUCCUGCAUCCCUUUCCAGCCUUUGGAACAUACAAACUCUUGUAGUUGAGACAUCAUCACGCACCCUUGAAAUCAAAGCAGAUGUAUGGAAGAUGAUUCAAAUGAGGCAUCUAAAAACAAACGUAUCCACAACAUUGAAAGGCCCUCUCGCUAAAUCAAGAAAAAGUAAAGAAGAUUCUUUGAACUUCAAAACACUUUCUACAAUAUCACCUGAAAGUUGUACAGAAGAUGUCUUUUCUGCAGCUCCAAACCUAAGCAAAUUGGGUAUUCGGGGCAAAAUAGCUAAACUAUUGGAUACCAAGGGUACUGGAUCUAGUUUGUUUGACAGUCUGGGAAAAUUGGAUUACCUUGAAAAUUUG